CCAUAUAUCCUAUACCCUAAACCCUAUAUCCUAAACUCUAGGCCAAACUCAAAAAACAAAACUAAAAGACAUCCUAGCCAUUCAUUAAGAAUUGAUGGCUGAGAUUGCUUUAUGAGGUAAUAUUAACAUAAAAAUAUUAAGAGAGGAUCCGAGUCGGUCUUUUCUUAAUUGAGGUCGAUAAAGAGACCAUUAACCAAGGUUUCCCACACUUUGUUGCCGUAACAUAUUUGGUGAUACUAUAUUUCAUCAUGUUACUCGUAUGUUGCGUCCAUUUGAUCAUACAAAUAGAACACUACCUCUAUGUUAACACUAGACACAAUGUGCAAAGCGUAAACCGAGACAAACAUGCUUGACGCAAUGAUUAUACAAAUAUAAAAUGCACUAUCUCGUGUUUGUGUUUUAUCUGUUAUUCUGUUAAUUCAGUCAUGCUAAUUGUAGUAAGUUUAUUUUCAGCCGUCUGAUUCACAUGUCUCUAAUCAACAUAUAAUUUACAGAGUUUAGACUUUGGUGGAUGACCAAGAGACCAAGAGACCAAGAGACCAAGAGUUAAAGAUGGGUUCCGAUUAGGUUAAAUCAGAGCCGUCACGUGCUAACCACGUGUCACUAUAAACCCAGCAAUUAUAUACCCGGCCGGAUACGAAAACCAACCGCUCACUCCAAUUGGAUUUCACAGUGCCUUCCCUCCAAACUCGCCGAAGCACCCCAAAAACGACGCCGCAUUCAUCCUUCUCCGAUAACGAAACACCCUAGCUCGGCCACACCUUUCCGAGAACCAAGGGGCAGAACCGGUCAUACAAUAAGAGAACCAGAGGAGGCAAAAUCACCAAGGUCUGAAUCUCACCCCCCUAUUUCCCUCCCAAAACCAUAAACCUCUUUCCGCUCUGGUUUUCAAAAUUAGGGUUUUCAGUCUAAUCAGGGUUUCUGUUCUGGUUUUCUCAGGUCGUCAGAGAGCACUAUCUCCCCGACGAUAUCUACUGCGGAGCUCCGGUAUGCCAAAAGUGCAACAACACCAAUGCUCGCCUGAGCGCCGCCGCUUCCACCGUCCUCGUCCUCGUCCUCGUCCUCGACACCAAUGUGGUGCUCAACCAGGUUCGAAUCUCAUUUCUAUGGUUUUUGUUGAGUUUGCACUAUCGAAUUUGAAUUAGGAAGUGAUUUUGAGCUUGAGACUGGUUUUGCAGAUUGAUUUGAUUGAGAAUGCAGCCAUUAACGACGUGGUGGUGCUUUCGAUUGUGCUCGAGGAGGACAAGAACAGGAACUUGUCCGUUUACAAUAGACUUAGAGCUAUCUGUAGCAAUUCCUUGCGGAACUUCUAUGUUUUCUCUAAUGAGCAUCACAAGUAGGUUUCGGUUUCUCUUUUUUGCUUUAGAGUUUUCGUUUUGCGAAUUUGACUCUUGUUUUGAUAUUUAACCCCAGAGUUAAAUAUUAAUUGGGCUGGGAUUCAGUGGAGAGGCGAUUGCGUCUCUCUGGGGUUUUGGAGACCCCUAUUUGCUGCGGAUUAGGAAGGGCGAAUGGAUUAACAUGCUCAAUUUUGUUUUUGCUUCCACGUUCUUGAGUAUGAGCAGUAUAAGGUCAGAAUUUUGGGAUUUUGUUUUCUGUUUUGAUUUUAGAUUACAUGCAUGUAUAUGAUUUCUGUAAAGCACAAGAACCCUAGAUGCAUGCCCGGAAUGCAACAUAGGUUAGUGUACUCCUGUGGUGUCCAGAUGAAACUUACCUUCAGUUGCAUGAUUUUGUGUUUUGGAUUGGAACGAUGCUUGUCUAAAAUUGAAUGAAGUUUCUAUGUGUUUGCAAUUGAUAUAAAGAUGUUGUAUGAUUCAUGCUUAUCCUCUGCACCUUAGAUUUUGAUUAAGAUAUACAUAUAUAUAUAUAGAGGUUUGAUUGCUUUGAUUGAUUAAGAUCGUGUGUUUUGAGAAUUGAGUUUUGAUCUUCAUAUUAGUUGUUUGCUGGGCUUAAGUUUAUCUCCCUGUUCAGUAUUGUGAAAUCCUUGUGAACACACUACAACAAAACUCAAAACACAAAACACUCUAAAUAUAGUCUUGAUCCAGUUUAAUUAUAAUCUUUUAACAAAUUGUAUUGUCAAUAGCAAUCUUUUUGAAAGGAAUUAAUGUUAAACAGAAGUAAUGGAUCAACAACUUGUAAUAUUGAAUCUAAUUGUCUGUGUCUUUGCUCCCUUAAGGAGGUUUAAACAUUCACAUCUCUUAGGUUCAGUAUUAGCAUAUAACAGAAAAUUAAAAUGCAUUCAGGGGUUGUUAGAGGUUGUUCUUCUUGCCACUCUAGGUGUUGACAUAAUCUAAUAAACCUAUAGUUGUUUUAAUAUUCUGGUUAUAUGAUUCAGCUUGUGUCGAUAUGUCCUUUUGCCACUCUAGGUAAGGCAGACACCUUAUGUUUUGGGGCACUUCAGUUUAAUGCCGUAUAUUUAUAAAGUUUUACUAAAUCUAGAACCUCUUUAUGUUUUACUACAGCCAUGAACCUCCCCUUAGGACUUCUUCAAAUAUAAAGCUUACAUGGGUCGAACUUUAAGCAAUGGAAGCAAGACAUAGAGCUGCAUCUAGGAAUGAUAGACUUUGACCAUGUCCUUAAUUAAGGAGGAUCCACUAGCAGAACCAACAACUACUACCGGCAAGGAUGUGAAAGAUAGGUACCAUCAGUGGCAUAAACACAACAGACUGACCUUAGCUAUUCUGAAGAAAUAUACGACAACUUCUGUGAGAGGUAGUAUACCUGAGUCUGAGUAUGCUAAGCAAUAUUUCAAAAAUAUAGAAGAAAGGUACAUAGUAUCAGAGAAGGCAGAGAUUGGAAACUUGAUGAAUACCCUCAUUACCAUGAAGUUUGAUGGAGUUGGAAGCGUUAGGGAAUUUAUAAUGAAGGGGAUUGAUAUCGCUGGAAAACUCAACGCCCUAAAUGUCAGUAUUGAAGAUACUUUUCUGGUGCAUUUGCUUUUGAAUUCUCUACCUCAGCAAUAUAGUCAGAUGCAGUCAAACUACAAUACACAGAAGGAGAGUUGGUCUGUGAAUGAACUGAUUUCAAUAUGUGUCCUAGAGGAGUAUAGAAUAAAGAAGGGAUAGAGCAUUGGAGUGAAUCUUGUCAGCAAGCCUCAAUUUAAGAAGAAAUUCGGCUAUAGGUCAAAUCAAUCUGGUGCUUCAUCUUCCAAAGUUUCUCAGGGAAAUUCUCAGGGAUUUAACAACUAUAAGAAUUUUAAGAGUGUGGGUCUGUAGAGUGUUUCUUCUGCCGAAAGCCUGGUCAUGUCAAAAAGGACUGUAAGGGUUUUAAAGACUGGCUGGUUAAGAAAGGGAUAUCUAAGAAAGAGGAUCCCAAAUAAGGACGAAGCUAGGAUUAGCUCAGGGAAUGGCAAACAGAGUAACUGUCAAAGCAAUUGGAGUAGUUAGGCUUGUUUUCCUAGUGGCUUUACUUUAGAUCUGGACAAUGUGUACUGCAUACCUUCUAUGCAGAGAAAUUUAGUUUCAGGAUCUCUUUUUGUCAAAACUCAUGGUUAUUCUUUUGUUGGAAGUAAUAAAAGUCUCAAUUUUUUCCCUUUUUCUGAUUUUAUUAGUAAUACAUCUCUGGUUGAUGGUUAUUGGCAUUUAAACCAUAGAAAUUCACUUGCGGUAUUUUUGACAGAAAAGACUAUAGGACAUAAGAGACCUAGACAUAAUGAGAAUUCAACUUUUCUUUGGCAUAAAAGGCUGGGACAUAUCUCAAAAGAGGUUAAAAAUACUUGUGAGAGAGGACAUUCUACCUUCUUUAGAUUUUACUGAUUUUAACGUCUGCAUUGAGUGUCUUAAAGGUAGAAUGACCAAGUCUAGGAAAACGGGGUCUGUUAGGAGCUGAGAACUAUUAGGAUUAAUUCACAAUGACAUCUCUGGUCCUUUUCCUCAUCUGACUCUUUGUAAAAAUCAGUAUUUUAUUACCUUUAUUGAUGAUUUUUCAAGGUUCUGCCUGUAUUUCUUAUUUCUGAAAAGUCACAGGCUUUAGACGUCUUUAAAAGAGAAACAAUUAAUUAAAGUCAUUAAAGUUGUUAGAUCAGAUAGGGGAGGUGAGUAUUAUGGUAGGCAUACAGAUGCUGGACAGAAUAUGAGACCUUUUGCUCUUUAUCUUCAAGAAUGUGGUAUUUAGGCUCAAUAUACCACUCCAGGGACACCAGAACAGAACAGAGUUGCAAGAGAAGGAACAGAACGUUGAUCAACAUGGUUAGAAGUAUGAUUAGUAAGUCGGGAUUUCCAAGAUUUUUGUGGGGGGAAGCAUUGCAGAUUGCGAACUAUAUCUGCAAUAGGACCCCUAGUAAUUCAGUCAACAAUAAUACACCUUUUGAGUUAUGGUUCGGCAGAAAACCUAGUUUAAAUCACUUUCAUGUGUGGGGACGUAAGGCAGAGGCAAGGGUUUAUAAUCCCAAGGCAGGAAAGCUUGAUCGUAGAACCUCGAGUGUUUUCUUUGUAGGAUACUUAACCAAAUCUAAGGGGUUUAGAUUCUACAGCCCACAUCACCAUAUUAGAAUUCUAGAGACCAAUAGAGCUACAUUUUUAGGAGAGAUGAAUGAUGCUGACAAUGUUGUUAUGGAUGAACUAGAUAUGGAAGCCGGCAGAAAUAGUGUGAGUGACAUCGAUGAAUGGUUUGGGUAUAAUGAAGUAGAAAAUAAUGUGUCUGGUGACUUGAAUGAAGAAAAGGUAUGUAGAUUAAGAAAGUCAAUCUAUAGUUUAAAAACAGGCUUCGAGUCAAUGGUAUAUUAAGUUUGAUUCUGUGAUUACUUCAUUUGGCUUUGCUGAAAAUAGACUAGAUGAGUGUAUAUAUAUGAAGGUCAGUGGGAGUAAAUUCAUAUUUCUAGUGUUGUAUGUCGAUGACAAUCUAUUGGCCAGCAGUGAUUUAGGAUUGUUGAAAGAGACUUAGAACUUUCUGAUGAAGCACUUUGAUAUGAAGGAAAUGUUCACUGUUAGACGAGAGAAAAGAAAGGAAAAGAAGAAUGAAAAUAACGAAGCGAAGAGUUUUCGGAAGAAGACUGCUGGUAAAAAGGUUCUCAGUAUUUGCAUAAGACGAAGGAUUAUAUGCUGGUUUAUAGGAAUCUUGAUACUGAAUUAGAAGUAGUUGGAUACAGUGAUUCAGAUUAUAAGGGUUGUGUGGAUGAUCUUAAGUCAACCUCAGGGUAUAUUUUUAUGCUGGCUGGAGGGGCAAUAUCUUGGAAGAGUGUGAAACAGUCUCUAACUUCUACUUCCACUAUGCAAGCUGAAUAUGUUGCUGUCCAUACAGGGCAAGCACUUUAGCUCAGAAACUUUGUUGUACAGAUUGGAAUAGUAGAUUCUAUUGAGAAACCAAUUAAGUUAUAUUGUGAUAAUGCAGCUGCGGUAUUCUUUGCUAAGAAUAAUAAAAGGUCCACAGCUUCCAGUAAUAUUGUCGUCGAUUACUAUGCCGUAAGGGAAAGCGUAAGAGAUGAUGAGAUUGAUGUUAUUAAGAUCAGUACUCAAGAUCAGUUGGCAGAUCCACUUACAAAACCCUUAGGAGUUGGUACUUUCCAGAAUCAUGUUACAAAUAUGGGGAUCUUACCAAGUUUUGAUGUCUUAGGUUAGUGGGAGAGUUCAAUCUGCAUUGCUGUAGACUUAAUAUCUUUAAGGUUUCUGAUUUUAGUAUUUUAAUUAUUCAAAUAUCUGACUAAAGGAGUAUUAUUGAAUCAGUUUUCUGCAUAUUUUUUUUUCAUCUUGCUCAAGUAAAAGUUGUUAUUUCAGUUCAUUAGCAUUAUAUACUUUAAUACUUGUAUGUAUCUUCAGUAUUUGAAGUUGCAGAUUCCUUAAGUUGGAGAAUCUAUUAUUUGGAUCAUUUUACUUGCAUUAUGUUCUGCAAGUUAAAAUUUCAAAUGCCUAAAGUUUACUCCUGUUCUGUAAGAUAUUGGAUUUUAGUCACAUGCUUGGUUAAAUGUUAGAUUUCCUGUGGUUCAAUAUAAUGGAUUACAGAAUGACCGAGUUUUGGGAUGAAUUUGAUGGUGCUGGAUAUGUCUUUGUGCACACUUCAGUUUUGCUAUAUCUGAUGCAGUAGCUUUUCUUGUUGUUUGAAUAUUGAUAGUUCAAGUGGGAGAUUGAAAGACUUAAUGUGGACUAUCAAUGAUUCACUAAGUAUCAAUAACUAAGCUACAUAAAUUACAGAUGAAGCAAGUAAGACAUUCCUAGUGUUCAUCAGACUCAUGAUUGAUUACAUGUUAAUAUCAGUACUGAUUAGUAAGGUUACUUAGCUAAUGAAGUAUACCUACUUGCAUAUGGAACAGGAAAAGGUUGGCCUUAAUGUAGAAGGAUUGGGAAACCUUUUAUGGGAGGCACCUAAUCCUCAAUGCUCUAACAAUCAAUAUAAGCAUUCAAGUUCUCUGCCCCAUAAGUGAGAUUGCCUUCAGUCAAUUGUUCAGAGGAGAAGAUCAAGCAUGUCUUAUUCAGGUUAGUAUUUCCACUCUUGUAUAUACAUCAUAUGUGUUCUUGUGUUGAGUACAACUUAUAAUUCCGCAUACAUAUUUAGAAGUAAGUCUUAUCGAUUCUCUAUAACAUUACAUAACAUAAAAUAAAUCGUUAGAAAUUUUGUAGUUGGAUUUGUCUCAUUAUGUUAGACAUGAUCUUGCAUGCUAAAAGUUGUCAUACUAAGAAAAAUGAAUAAUUUACGUAUAUCUAUUAUCUUCUAAUUCACAAACAUGCACCCUUUUAUAUAAUUGUCUUAUUCCACACACCACCUGCAAUAUUAGAGGCGGUAUGCUAUAAUGCUAACUUGCUAAAUACAAGUAAAGUACAAUCUUGUAGGCAUAUAUGGAUAAAUAGUUCUUGCACAUUUCUCCAUUUCUUACCAUUGACCUCUGGGCUUGGAGAGGUCAUGUUUGAGACCAGUAGUUUCCACUCCAGCAGAAGUUUUAGCAACCUCUAAUUUCGUUUCAUCAGCCACACUAACCGUUUCUCUAAACUUCUUGUAAAUAUCACCCUUAUAAAACUUCCUUGUCCUCACCACCAAAACCAAAGAAACUAGUGUUCCAACAAAAGUUACCACAGUAAUAAUGAUGAAAGACCAUUUGAAGCACUCUCCCCCAACACAGUUCAACUCCUCUCCAACCUUCCUCUGAAUCCCCAAAGCUGCCAUUUGCUUCUUAGCCUCCACAUCAUACAAAUGCCCCGUAACCCUCACAUUGAGCACAUACAACCCAAUAGGGCUAGCCAAUCCACCAAUAUUGUACAAAGUCGAGUAGUACUUGAGGCCGAAAAGCUCGGAUAUAAUGGUGUAGAUCAAAGGCCAAUGAGCACCAAAACAAAAACCAGUGACCACUGAAGCAACAUAGACACCAUAUGGGAUGUUGAACGCUAUUAGAAGAUGACCAACACACGAGAGCAAGAGAAUUGCUGUGAAAAUUAGAGGGCGAGGCCAUUUGUACUUUGUGAUGAAUAUUUCUGAGCCUAUACCAGCGGCAAUAUGACCUGAAUAGUUCCAUAUGCUUGUUAGGGACACAAAGUUUCUUAUGCUUUUCAGAGGGUACCCAAGAGAUGUACCAAUUUGUCCCAAGUUGUCCAUCAUGGUCAUGGUGCCUCCAAGUCCACAAAUUGUUGCAAAGAGUAAAGUCACCAUCUCGACGCUGAAAACGGCUUGAAGUAUGGUGAAGUCCUCUCCGAUCUCCGGCGGGUUAAAUAUGUCUUUCCGCCAAGAAACUUCUUUUUCAAUGACAACAAAAUGUUCUAAUGGUUCAUCUCGAUGCCCCAAAAUCUCCGGUUUGGCAUGGCUAGAAUCUUUAGUUACUAUUGAUCUCUUGCUCUCCCAAACCUUGUACUCUUCCAUAAUUACCACGGUAAGUGGUAAAAAGAGUAAAAAGAGGACUACAGCUGCACUUCCAACAUACUCACUUGGACUAAACGUGACCCUUUUUUCCACUAUAAUUAUAACCAACAAAAAUGCAGCUAGACCUAGUGACAGAUAGAGGAAGUGAUAAAAAGCCUUGAGCUCGUUCGAGCCACGUCGACUAACCUUCAUGAUCCGAAUAGUUCCGAUGAAGGCGAAGGAAAUAGCUGUCGGAAGCCAGGCCACAACCAAAGUGAAAUACUUGGUAUCGUCACCGUAGACGGCAUGGUACAGCUGUGCCACCACAGCUGCACUUAUACCAGUAUAGCUCUUCAAAAGCCCUAGCACGAUGCCACGGCUCUCCGGGAAGUUCUUCACGCAGGUGACCAGAGCUCCGGUGUUGGUGAAAGUGUGUGAGUUAGCUCCUAUGCCCAUGUACAUGCACAUGUGCCAAACUUGGGGUUUAUGGAUUUUUUGAGCUACUGCUAGCCAAAUCAUGAAGUGCCCGAAGAAGUUGAGGACUGCACCGAUUGAUAAGACCACCCAGGGUGGUGUGACUUCGUUGAUGAGGCCGGAGAGGAUGCCAAUGUUGGCACCUAGGUCUUUGGAGAAGCUGAUGAGGUUGAGGGUGGUUUGGUCGUAGCCGAGGACAGACUUGAUGUCGUUGGAGUAGAGGCCGAACAUGUAGCUGGCACCGGCUGUGACCAUCAUCAGAAAUGAAGCAAACACAAUCAGCCAUCGUCCUUUGAGGACUUGCAGGACAAGGCUCUUCAUGUCCACCCAAGUCUAUACUAGCAGCUCCCAUUUCUUCUAGACAAGCCUUUUUAAUGAAACGUGCAACACCGAGACUAAUUCUCAUCAAAUAAAGCUUAAUUUUGAUGGUUCGGUGAAGCAUACAUAGUGAUUGCCACCUAUUUACAUAUACUGUAGCUCCCACUACACCAUCCCUAGUGCAUGCCAUGAUUGACAGUAAGAACUGGAACAUAUAUAGUACAUUGCUCCCUCUGUUUAUUAUAUAAACUAACUUGCACUAGACACUCAGAAUUAUAACCUAAUAAUUGCUUACUUCAAUUAUUUACCCCGGGAUUUCUACCUUACAUCUUUAACUUCAGAACCACUACUCUCAUAUGCACCUUCCAACUUUUCACUUAACUUUUGUAGUCUAACUGGGUUUCUGGCCACCACAGUUUCAUACUCUACUUCUUUGGCCUCAUCUUUGAACUUUUUAUAAAUGUCACUGUUAUAGAACUUCCUAGUCCUAAGCACCAAAACAAGUGAAAAAAGCACACCAAGCAUUGUCACUCCAGUGAUUAUAAUGAAGGGCAAUCUGUAGCAUUGCCCCCCACUGCAAUUUAACCCCUCCCCAAUCUUCCUCUCCAAUCCCAAAGCUCUCAGUUGCUUCUCUGCUUCCUUAUCAUAGAGAUACCCCGUCACCCUCACAUUGAUUAAAUAUGACCCAAGUGGGCAAGCCAUUACCCCAACAUUGUUCAACGUAGAGCAGUGCUUAAGCCCGAAAAUCUCAGAAGUGACCGAAAAUAUCAGUGGCCACUGUCCACCAAAGCAAAAGCCGAUGAUUAUCGAAGCCGCAUAGAGACCGUUUGGCACAUUGAAUGCAAUCAGAAGGUGACCAAUGCAUGAUAGCAAGAGGGAGAGAGUGAACAUGAGAGGUCUGGGAAAUUUGUACUUUGUGAUGAAGAUUUCUGAGAGCAUACCCACCAUUACUUCCCCUAGGUAAACCCAAAUGCUUGUGAGUGACACAAAUGUGCUUAUACUUCCCAAUGAGUAUCCCAAUGCAGUUCCAAUCUGACCCAAGUUGUCCAUCAUUGUUAACAUGCCGCCUAGGCCGCAUAGUGUUGUCAAGAACAACGCAAACAUUUCGAUGCUGAACACUGCUUGGAGUAUGGUGUAGUCCUCUCCUAUCUGUGGUGGACUAAAUAUAUGAUUCCAAUCCCAACAAGAAACUUUCCUGUCAUCACUAGGUGACACUAAUGAUACUGGGGAUGGAAUUAUACUCAGCUGGUUUUGGCCUGAUGAAUCGAUAUGUUCUGCGGUACUAAUCAGUCGACUGUUCCUCCAAAUAUUUUUCUCUUCGGCUACAACAACAGCGAGUGGGAGAAAGAGCAAGAAAAUUACUACAGCUGCACUCCCACUGUACUCACUUUGUGUGAAGUUGACUUGCUGCUCUACUAUGAUUAUUACCAACAAGAACAUGGCAAGUCCAAGUGAGAUAAAAAAGAAUUUAUGUAACACAUUGCGGUCAUUUUUGUUUGGUAUAACCGUCAUGAUUCUAAUGGUCCGGAGAAAUAUCAGAGAAAGAGUAGAAGGAAGCCAUGCGACGAACAAUGUGAAGGACUUAGUGUCAUCACCAUAGAGAGCAUGGUAUAGCUGCGCGAUUACUGCUGCACUUAGACCAAUGUAGCCAUUCAAAAGGCCUAACAAGAGUCCACGGCUUCUGGGGAAGUUCUUCACGCAGGUGACUAGAGCUCCGGUGUUGAUGAAAGUGUGCGAGUUUGCCCCCAUUGCUAUGUACGUGCACAUGUGCCAAACUUGGGGCUUGGCUAUUUUUUUGGUCACGGCAAGCCAAAUCAUGAAAUAGCCAAAGAAGUUGAAAGCUGCACCGAUCGAUAAGACCACCCAUGGGGGAGUCACCUCGUUGAUCAGCCCCGAAAAUAUGCCAAUGUUGGCCCCUAAGUCCUUGAAGAAGCUGAUGAGAUUGAGGGUCGUUUGGCUGUAACCGAGUGAGGACUUGAUGUCAUUUGAGUAGAGGCCGAACAUGUAGCUUGCACCAGCACUAGCCAUCAUUAGAAAUGAAGCAAACAACAUGAGCCACCUUCCUGUAAGAACUUGGAGGGUGAAAGCCUUCAUUUUUGUCCAACUACCCAUUCCUCUCGCCUAGAAGUACCUCUGUAGCAAAGCUUGCUUUUUAAGAGAAAUUAGAAUCUGUGAAACACAUGGCAUGAGCUUGCAGUAACUACAAGUCAAUAAUAUAUAAUCACUUAUAUUUGUGUAUACAAUUUAUAAUCAGAUAAAGUUUCGUUUUCAAAUUAAAUUGCGAAGGUCCUGAUAUAUAUUACAAAAAUCCAAUACUAACUAGACCAUACAAACAUCCGAAUUCCAGUGACUACAAGUCAAUAUCAACCAAAAUGGCAUGGCCACAUAAUCGUGGUGACUGAGAGACCACACACUAUUGUAGCUGCAUGUUAUUUGAUACCGAUCUUACAAAUUAAUAAAAGAUAAUUAACUUGUCGAAAUUUAUCAAAAUUAGACGUAAAAACUUGGGUCAUUCUCUUUCUAUCGAAACAAAAAAAAUAAAAUGAUCAUACUCAAUCUUAACUAGGCAUCUAAACUACAUACAGAUGUGUAAGGGUCAAGUGACAAGUCUUUUUGCACAUAUUUUUCAGUGUUGAGCUUAUGGUUCUUGAUGUAUGUAGAUUAUGGUUAAAGUGGUUCCAGACACCACAAAAUAGACUAAUUACAUGCAAAUACACUUUUGGAUACGAGAAAAAAGUGGAAGGAAUAUAGAGAGAGUGAAUUUACCCAACUUGUGAAGGCAACUUUCCGGUGGCAGCCGCUGCAAAGAUAUAUGUUCUGCUGCGGAGUAGGUGUCGGCUCCUUCUUCGACGGCAGCGUUGGGGAACGUAGUGGCAGCGGUUGCCUCAGGGCUCAGGCUCUUUGGAUAUUUGGGUUUCAGCUGUUUGAGCGAGUCGAGGUGGUGAUGAUGAUGAUGAAGAAUAAGAAUGAAGAAUGAAGACCAUACGUAGAAUAUAUAUACAAAGAUUAGCUACUCGAGUGCCGCUUUCUCUUUUGUUUUUGUUGUCUUUGCGUCUUGGGAGCAUGCGUGGAAUUUUUUUGAACCCUUGUCUCGGGGGCUGUAUCUAGUUGGAAGAGGUACCUAGGGACUCCACCCAUCACUCUUAAGACAUCAUCACUCGGCACUGUCACCAUGAUGAAAGUUUAUACACAAUCAUAUAUGAUUCCUCCAUAUACGAAUCUUCUUGUUGAAUAUGUUUUUCGUUUUAAUUUAGGAUGAUGUAGCAAUUCAUCUUAGUUUUUUUUUGAUGAUGUAGCAAUUCAUCUUAGUUACAUCGACGAACUAGUACAUGCAACACCCAUUCGGCUACUAUCUAGCUGAAGAUUGUUACUACCAAAAGACUAAUCUCUUGUCGUAUGCUUAGAAACUCCUAAACCCUCUCAAACCUAUUGCAUGGCCACAAACUUGUGAUGGUUCUGAUUUUUGUGUGGAGAAAAUCUUACGGCCCACGUGUCUUGUGUGACUCACUAGUCACACAGCGACACGUUGUUUUUUUUUUUUUUUGUCAGCAGCUCUUCUUCCCUCAUUCCUCUCUCUUCUCCGGCAAAACCGAUCCCCUCUAACGAAGCUUUUUCACAACUCUUCUUUUUCUUCUUUCUCCUUCUUCUUCUUCCUUCCUCCCUCUUCUUCUUCCUUCCUCUCUCUUGGUAGAGGCGUGAUUUGCACAGGUUGGUGGAGACGAGCUCGACGGCGGCAGGUUGUCAUCCAUAUGGUGGAGGCGGCGAUGGGGGUUCCAGGCGGCAGCUGGGCAGAGGGGCCUGCUAUGCUUUGAUCGGAGGGAUCGGGUUUCGCUAGAGAAGAGGGAGGAAGGGCCAGAGAAGAGGGAGGGAGGAAGGAAGAAGAGCUGCGAAAAAAAAAACACAUGUCGUUGUGCGACUGGUGGGUCACCCAGGACACGGGUGCGGCUGUCGAACGUAAAAUUUUCUCUUUUGUGUGACACCACACCUAUAGUCAAAGAAAUGAAAUAACACACUACAUCUAUUAUUCAAUCAAGCUUGCCAUCUUUGACCUACAACUUUACAUCAACUUCACUUUACAAGUCGAAACAGAUUUUUUUUUCUUUUUCCUUUCUGAAAGCGAAAUCAAUCAAAUUUCCAUAGUCGGGUUCUCGUAGAAACAAGAUAAAUACUCUACUCACAUUAGUCGAUGAAUGGAUUGCAAGCAGCGAUCAUCAGUUAAAGCUUGGCAAUAGCAGAACCAUACAAAUUGGAUCUUUCAGGAAGCUUCAACUCUUCCAAUUCUUCAUCAUCACUAUCCAACUUAGAGAAGUAGCGAUCAACCAUCUCGUCAGUGAUAUGCUCCAACUUAGAAGGCUCCCAUUUCGGGUUCUUAUCCUUGUCCAACAAUAUCGCUCUACAACCCUCCCCAAAGUCCUUACUGAUCUCCCCUCUCACAACAUGGCAAACCAUUCUUUGCUCACGAACAAGGCACUCGCCAACUCCUUGCAUCCUUCCUUCUCGAAUCGAUCUCAAUGUGAUCUUCAAACUUAUCGGUGACGCCUUUUUCAGGGAUGCAAUCGAUGAAGACAACCAGUGAUCACGAUCAUGUAUACCAGUUGUAGCAAGCUCCUUCUCAAGAGAACUUAAAAUUUCCUCCACUGUGCUCUUAGAAAAGCACUUGUCAAUAACAUCUAUUCUGUGACAAACGCUCUUCUCUUUCACAGCUGGUUGCUGUGAGUAUUCAUUAAUAAUGGCUGAAAUAUUAUCAACAAGAUCACUGCUCGAUAUAUUUGUGGAAGCAACUAGGGCUUCUUCUAACGAGGCUAAUUUGGCUGAGGGAACAAAGUGAGUUGCUAAACCACAAGCGAGCAUUUCAGGACCGUCCAAUCUAGCACCAGUAAGACCAAGAUAUUCUCCAAAGAAUCCAGGAAGCCUUGACAGAAAAUAAGAAGCACCCAAAUCGGGAAACAAUCCCAGAGCUGUUUCCGGCAAAGCAAACACCGAGUUCUCAGUUGCUACACGAAACCUGCCGUGUAUAGAAACUCCGGCGCCACCUCCCAUGACAAUUCCAUUGAGAAAUGAAACCUGGGGCGUAGUGUUUUUUGCUAUCAAGUAGCCUAGGGUAUACACCCUCUUACCUUGUCGCGCUCCAAAUCUCCAGUUGCCUUCGAAAAGAUGACGAGCCACCACCACCACAUCGCCGCCGGCGCAGAAUGCUCUUCCUUUGCCUUUGAGAAUGACCAGCUUGACAUUGGCGUCGUCCUCGUAGGCGUGGAACAGUUGGCACAGCCGAGACAUCAUUUCGUAGGAGAGAGCGUUCAGUUGUCGAGGCCUGUUCAGUGUUAAUAUCCUCGCAAACGAGUCCCGUUGUAUCAAGAUUUGAUCAUCCUGAUCCGAGUUGAUGAAAGAAGCCAUGGGAGAUAUGAUGUUACUGGAAAUGUGAAAAUGAUAGUAGUACUGAACAAAUAAUAGUAGUAUUGAUACUUUGAUAGUAUGAUUAGUAUCGCUGUAUCAGUCUUAAGAAGGCGUGCGCCUGGAUCUAUAAAAAACAAAUGACUCUCCCUAGACUUUGCUAGCUAGUUGACUACAUAUUGAGCACCAAACAUUCAAACAAUAUGAGAUGGAUCCAAUUUUACGCAAAAUAAUUAAUUAAAUUAAUUGAAGUUGGGAUAGUUAAUUACUUCCUUGACUAAUUACCCUCCCUCAAUCAAAGAACUAUAUUGACGGUUGAAACAUCUGUCAUUUUUCAAAAGAAAAUAAAUAUUAAAAGUACUAAAUAAUUUGUCUUAUGCAAGAGAUAUCACUCAACCUGGUCUGCACGGUAUCUUCAUUUUCAUAUUGAUGAAUCCACCAAUCAGCUAUUUCCGGUGAAGAACGGGAGUUUGCACUGGACCUAGCUAGAUACACGAAACGUGUGAAUAUAUACAAGACAUAUCCAGAGAGUGCAUUUCACCCAGAUUUUUUAAAUCUUAAAGCAGGAAAUUCAUGCACAUACAUAUUGUUGAAUCAGAUUUGAGAGAGAGAGAGAGAGAGAGAGAGAGAGAGAGAGAGAGAGAGAGAGAGAGAGAGAGAGNNNNNNNNNNNNNNNNNNNNGAGAGAGAGAGAGACAGUACCGGCCAUUAUACACACGAGGCGGCUGGUUAUUACAAAAAUCUCUAACUACAUAAACAUUUUGAUUGACUGAAAUCGAUCCUCGUAGUAAUUAUCAUAUAAAAUGGUCACUAGUUUUAUACGAAUGGAUGCAUAUACAGCAUCCCUAGUUCUCUACGUACAACGAGGCUGCUGGUUACAAGAAUCUGUACCUACAUACGAUUUUGAUCGAGCUAUGUCCUCCUAAUUAUCAUAUAAAAUGGUUACACUAACGUAACAAUGUUUUAUUGGUAUAAUUUAUGUAAAUGUGAAGAGUUUAUAUAAGGUAGCCAUGUUUUAUUAGUAUCGUUAAUUUAUUAGUUUGGCAGAUGCAAUGUCCCUAUUUUUCGUGGGAUUCAUAUCUUCUAUCAUAUUGACAUAUUAAAUGGGAAGAGAUUAUAUAAUGUAGCCAUGUUUUAUUAGUAUCUUUAAUUUAUUAGUUUGGCAGAUGCAAUGUCCCUAUUUUUCGUGGGAUUCAUAUCUUCUAUCAUAUUGACAUAUUAUCUGCCUUAACAGAAAAACAAACUAAUAUAUUAACUAUAAUGUCAUGAACAGAGCCAUUUUUUUUUAUCUUAAAGACAAUUUUGUCAUUAGUACUAAAGUAGAGGGACAAUACGAAUCGAUCCACUGCCAUGCGUACAGAAGACAAUCAAGAUCAUAUGAUUCGUAUGAGGGCUGUAUCCUCAUUACAAAUUUCGACUCACAAGGAGCCUAUAAUCUAAUAGCAAAUAGAUCAUAGGCUAAGAUCUCACCUAAAAAACUAUAAAAAUGCUAAAGAAAGAUAGACUCAUAACGCCAAGACGCCAUGAGGCACAAAAAAUGUUUAGGCGCAAAAGUGCUUAGAGUCCUAAUGAAAGGAACUUAUUGUACUAGAAAACUAUAAUCUAAAAAAGCAUCUAAAGCCCAAAAAGAAAUUAAACCUAAACCCGAAACAAUUAACCUAGCCCAACUUUCUUUCACAAUUACAGGAAGGACAUGGAAGAGGAACAUAUUAGCCGUCGCCGCAAUGAGAUGAGGUUGCCUUCGUGAGACGUCGCCGCAGUUGCCGCUGUGGGACAUUGCCGCCGCCUUGUUCCGUACAGCCACAAGCACACCCCAAGGAGAAGAAACUCCAUUGUCGCCACGAACUUAGAGACCAAAUAACAUCUCCACCAAACCAAAGCUCCUCUCAUGAAUAAACAAGGAUGGAGAUGGAAUCGGGAAGAUGAAACCAGAUCUGCUCCUCGAGUCCAUGGUGCCAUACCUCCAAACCGAUCUGAAAAGCCAUGCUAAUCAAAAGCUGUUAAGAAUCUCUAGCAAAUUACCUCUCAAAGCAUUUGGUUGCUAACAUAUCCUUCAUCCGACAACAAAGUCAUACGGUUUCAGUAGAUCUAGAGACCCGUCUAACGUUAGACCGUCGCCGGAUGAGGGUUGGAUUUCGUGGUUUGCGGCCGACUUAGAGAAUGAACAGAGCCAUAUGUUAUCUAUAAUGCUAACAAAUGAUUUCCUCUCUCAUGCUACCAAUGAGAUUUGGAAUAACCAACAUGCUAGAGCUAACCAAGAAAUUACGAACUCAUGCAUAUAUUAUUAUAUAUGGACAAAUGUGUUGUCUGUGAUGAUAAAAAAUUAAAUUUGAUGCCCUACUCCUAAUUAGUAACGUGCGCGCGCAUAUUUAUAUAUUUUGUUCAUCGAUGGCUAUAAUGAAAGGAUCAUGUAAAUGACACAGUCUAUAUAAGUACAAUCGUGUGGAAGAUUAAUCUCCGAGGUUUCUUUUAUCCUCCAUCAAACAAGUGCAUUUCUUUUGCUGGCUACAAAGUAGUCGAAUUUAGGUUGAAAUGUCUGCAGCAAAUACUAUGCUUGGAAACAAUUGUUCACUCUUGGAAAAGGUCACACGCCUAUUUGUUACUAGAUUUAUAAGACAAUAUACCUCCACAGGAUGUAUAAUGUGAGUAAUGUAUACUUAAUUUUGGUCCUAAUUGUUUGACAUCUAAUUCAUUACAUUCAUGUUUAUACUUAUUAUGCAUGCUCUGAACCUUUUUCUUCACUCUUUCUCUUCAUAAAGCUCAAGGAAUCAUAUCAGUAUUGAUCCAAAUAAACAUUUAGUAGGAUCAUUUGCAUUGCAUGUUUCUCUCUUGAUCAACACAAUUCGCCUGAUUUGUUGCGAGUAUAUACGAUCUUCAAGUGUGUGUGUGUGUAUAUCUUAUGCAGUAGUUAACCCAGUUCCACUCGAUCUAUCUCCAGCUGUUUCUGUUUGAGGCAAUCAUAUCCCUUAAUAUAUUGACUCUUACAAAUAAAGUUUUGUGCACUACUGUCUUGUAUACAGUUUAAUAGAGGAAGACGGCACAACGUUAACCUUUGAGGGAACGAGCAUCGGUAGUUCUUUGAAAUCUGUUCUUAAAGUUCACAAUCCUCAGUUUUACUGGAAGGUAAACCAUUCUCAUUUUGGAUUUUGGAAAUUAUAAUUCUGAAUUAUGUACGUACUACUUAAUCUCAAAAGUACGUUCUCUCUUUCAGGUAAUGACUCGGUCUGAUUUAGGCCUUGCAGAUGCUUAAAUAAAUGGAGAUUUUUCUUUCGAUGAUAAAGACAAAGGUCUUGAGAAUCUCUUUACGGUAAUAUCACUGAUCAUGAUUUUCGACUGCAUGCAAGAUUGUUUGUUCAGUUCGAAGAUUAAAUUCCGUUUUACUAACUUAUUCAGUUUCCAGAUUCUCAUUGCCAAUAGAGAUUCAAAUUCUUCCCUCUCAAAAAUGAGCAAGAAAAGGUGCAAUUAACAUAUGUUACUGUCGAUCAUAAACUUGAAUGGAGGUAUAUAUACCUAUUGGUCAUCAAAAUCAUUGUGUCAAGUACUUAAUUAACUGAAUGUUGCUUGUUACAGCGGUUGGUGGACGCCAUUGUUAUUCGCUGCCAGUAUGACCCCUGCACGAUAUUUCUUUCAUCAUAUUACAAGGCAAAACACACUUACACAGGCUCGGAGGAACAUCUCUCGCCAUUAUGACCUGGUAAACAAUUUACAUAAUGUACGUUUAAGGAUUAAUACAUGCAUGUCUAACAUAUGACAUGAGAUAACUCAGAAGCUCAUUCCAAUUUUGUGUGCGCUGACCUAGAGUAAUGAACUGUUUUCGUUGUACUUGGACGAAACGAUGACGUAUUCCACGGCUGUUUUUAAGGUUAGCAUCAUCAGCUUUCAACAUAUUGAUAGUAAAUUACACCAUUUACACAGCAUGAAGAAAGUAUAUAUUGUAAUUUAAGUAUACAGUUGCUCCUCGUUUUUGAAUCAUUCUGUACGUAGGAAGAAGAUGAAGAAUUGAAGAUUGCACAGCUGAGGAAAAUCAGCAUUUUAAUUGAAAAGGUGGUUUUAGUUAAUGUUUCUUUGAUAUAAAACACUUUGUCAAGAAUCCUGCAGUGCUCCAAGAUCUUGGUUAUUCCAAAACACUUCGACUUGUUGACAAACAUAUUUUUUUGUGUUCUUUUUUCUUAUGUGGGAUUCUUUUUAUUUUAAAUGCGGGACUGCUUAUUCUGGAACAAAUUUCUUUUAUCUGAGAUUUAAUUUUUUGUUCGUUUCUAUCUGUUUCAUUUAGGCUAAAAUUAAUAAGAACCAUGAAGUCCUAGAGAUUGGCUGUGGUUGGGGCAGCUUCGCUAUUGAAGUCGUCAAACAAACUGGUUGUAGAUACACUGGCAUCACUUUGUCUGAGGAACAAUUGAAAUUUGCCGAAAAAAAAGUGAAAGAUGCGGGCCUUCAGGUAUCAAACUAAAUAAUUAAUUUUCCAUUAGUAACAGCUCUCAGAAUUCAACUGAUAGAAGGAUUAUGAGAUUAAUAUAGACUCACUCACUGGAUUAUUGUAAUUUCAAUCAUAUAAUUGCAUGAUACCAGGACUACAUCAAGUUCCUGUUGUGUGACUACCGCAAACUGCCUCCAAACUCCACUUAUGACAGAGUCAUUUCUUGGUGAGUAUUGUCCCCGUUAAAUGUCAUCUAGGCAAUUCAAAUUACUGCCAAACAUACCUUGAUGUGUGGUGAAUUUAAUUUGCAGUGAGAUGCUAGAACACGUCGGCCACAAAUUUAUGGAGGAAUUCUUUGGUUGCUGUGAAUCUCUCCUAGCAGAAAAAGGACUUCUUGUUCUACAGGUAACAUCCAAUAUAUUAAUGUUACUGACCAUUCUCCACUUUGUUGGUUUGCAAGGUGGGAAAUUUGGUUGCCUAGCUACCUAACACUGCUAUGUUAAACUACAUUUAAAUCUUAUAAAUGUAAACAUCCAAUAUAAUAUAUAAGCUAAUGGUUUUGGGUGGUUGAUUUCUUUAGUUCACAUCAUUACCGGAUGAGCGUUAUGAUAAGUACAGGCAAAGCUCAGACUUCAUAAAUGAAUAUAUAUUUCCUGGUGCUUGUAUACCUUCAUUAAGUAGGGUAACAUCAGCCAUGGCUACUUCUUCAAAACUCAGGUAUAUAAUAUAUGACAUAAUUUUAUAGUCAGUAUUAUAUAACUGUAGUGCUUGUUGUUUUCACUUAUGGGCUUAUGGCCGGAACUUCUGUUACUGCAGUGUGGAACACUUGGAAAACAUUGGAAUUCAUUAUUAUCCAACGCUAAAAUGUUGGAAAAAAAUUUUCUUGGAAAACCAGAAGUAAGAGAUUGAUAUUCUUUCAAGUUCAAUUGUUUACAGAAGGCUAUGAUGUAAAAUUGUUAUACAUGUUGUUGAUGCUAUUGGUGGUGCAUUGUCUUUUGUGUUUAUAGCGAAAUACUAGCUCUUGGAUUCGAUGAAGAGUUCAUCCGGACAUGGGAGUAUUAUUUUGAUUAUUGUGCGGCAGGAUUCAACUCAUGCACACUUGGAAAUUACCAGGUUCAUUUCUUGCUUCUAACAACCUUACAUGUUCAUUACUAAUCAAAAUUGGUAAUUCCUGUGUUGUAUAUAUAUGUACCAAUUUUCUGUAAUUGACUAACGUACGGUUAACAAAUAGUCAUAUACCGGCUCUUGCAGAUUGUGUUUUCUCGUCCUGGUAAUGUUCCUGUAUUAGGCAACCCCUUCAAAGGCUUCCCUUCAGCAUAUUGAUUGUGUUGUCAAGUCCAUCUUCAGGACAAACUGUUGCUGAUUAAGAAAUGGUGCUAGAAAGUUAUUUUGUGUUAUGUUUGAUUGAAUAAGCCUUAUCACAUGAAAAGGUUUUGUCUUCAAUGUAAUUUGCUUUACCAUAUCACAGUCUCCUUGUAACAUAAUUCCCUUCUUUGAAAUAAAAAGUUUGAUAAUCUAGACAAUAUAUUUUGCAGAUUUUCCUUAAUUUUUUGCUAAUUAACAACCGUAGGUUUCUUGAACUGUAAGAAACUGCAGAUGCGAACUCCUAGUUUCCAGCAGUUCAAGAGUACAAAACCUUAUUAAGAAAAUUAAAAAUGGAGUUUUACACAUUGCAUGUUCAAAUGACAGCAUCACAAACCCUAAUCUCUAUAUGUGUUAACUUAUAUAUUUGUUUGAAGAAUGGUGCCGCUCUGUUGAGACUAUAUAUACUCCACAUGUGAAAAACUAGACUUAUUUGUGGAUUUAGGAGGAUUUGAGCCACUCGAUUCAUUACUAAUUUAUUUUAGAUGUGAACUAUAUAUUACUAUAUCUGCCCCUUGCACAUAUAGCUAUUGUACAGAUGCUAUAUAGUUGAUGUAUACCAAGUCCAACAUAGCUAUAGCAUAUUGCAAUUUGAAUUCAUGAACAUGCAUCAUAUAUUCACAAAUCCAUAAUAAUUAAAUUAGAUCGUGUUAUGUUACAUUUCACUAACUUGACAAAUGUUCAGUCCCACACAAAACAGAUCGAUACAUAUCAGUAGUCAGAAUAUGUAUUAAGAAACAAGCUAGGUAGCAUAGGAUUGGUUUACUAAACAAUUAACACUAGCCACCGUAAAAGAUUACAAUUAUCAUUACUUUAAAAGGAACACAAGCCACCAUCAAUAAUUCAAAUGAACAAAAAUUAACAAAUGCAAUUCCUUUGUCUUUGGUUAGGGUGUUAUUGUGCAACGGAGCUGUAUAAAUAAUGGUACAGCUAAUAAUGCAGAGAGAGAGAGAGAGAGAGAGAGAGAGAGAGAGAGAGAGAGAGAGAGAGAGAGAGAGANNNNNNNNNNNNNNNNNNNNGAGAGAGAGAGAUGGCAGCAGAUGAAGUAUGUCCUAUGAAAGGUGGGGAUGGCCCCAAUAGCUAUGCCAAGAACUCCACAUACCAGGUUCUUGAACGCUAACCUUUACUAGCUACGUAUAGAGUGAUAUCAUAAUAAUCAUCUCUGCUUCAAAUAAAUUAACUUCUUGUAUCGAGUUGUAGGAAAUUAUUGAUAAAAUGACCAUCAACUAAAUGCAACAUUCAAAUUUGCAGAAAGCAGCGGUGGAUGCUGCAAAAGAACUUGUAAGCAAGGCAAUUGCAGAAAAUCUUGACCUAGAAUUCUUGUUAGCUUCCAGCAGUACUUUUCAUAUUGCGGAUUUGGGUUGCUCUAUUGGACCAAAUACAUUUUGGGCAGUUGACAACAUUCUUGAAGCUGUGAAAUUGAAAAUUCAAGGGAUGAAAAAGUCUCCCAUGACCCUUGAAUUUCAAGUUUUCUUCAAUGAUCAUGCCCCUAAUGACUUCAACAUGCUCUUCAAAUCACUCCCUAUGAAUAGGCAAUAUUAUGCUGCUGGUGUGCCAGGUUCGUUCUAUGGUCGCAUUUUUCCUAAAAAUUCAUUUCACUUUGUUCACUCUCUACUGCCAUUCACUGGCUCUCUAGAGUGCCAAAAGCUGUAGUGGACAGAACCUCUCCUGCUUGGAAUAAAGGAAAAAUCCAAUUCUCUUAUUCCUCGGAUGAAGUUAUAAGGGCUUUUGAAGCUCAAUUUGCUGAGGACAUGGAGUGCUUCCUGAAUGCGAGGGCACAUGAAAUUGUGCAUGGAGGACUCAUGGCACUUAUUGUUCCAGGCCGACCCGAUGGUACCCCUCAUUCAAAAUCUUCACUGAAUGUGAUCUAUCACAUUUUAGGAUCUUGCCUCAUGGAAAUGGCAAGGAAGGUAAGCAAUUAACAAGUUCUCUAUCUCGAGGUUAAUUUGAUUUGUUUUAGGGUAUGCCAGAUCAUAUCUAUUUGUUUUCUGCAGGGAGUAGUUAGUGAAGAGAAAGCGGAUGGAUUUAACAUACCAAUGUACUACAUGUCUCCUCAAGAACUGAAAGCUACUGUAGAACUAAAUGGAAGUUUCACUAUAGAGUGUAUGGAAAACUUACCUCGUCUCUCCACAAUUGACGAUGUCACUGAAAGUGCCGAACUCGUUGCAUCUCAUGUUAGAGCUGUCACGGAGGGUCUCUUCCAGCAGCAAUUCGGAGACGAAAUCUUAGAUGAGCUCUAUGACUUGUAUCUUACCAAACUCGAAGAGCAGCCUUCCAUCUUUGACCCAACAAAGGCUAUUAACUUUCUUCUUGUGCUUAAACGCCAAGGCAAAUUGAUUUGAUCGAACAAGCUGUUUUGGAAUCAAUAUAUCGUUAAACGAUUUUUAAGUACUUAAUUCAUUGUCCAAAUUGCCAUCCCCUUGUAACAUUAUUCCUUUUUCUUAAAAUAUUAAUCCUAAUUAAGAAAGAGCAAGUAAAUCGCUAGGAACUUUUAGUCAAUAGGUGAUUGUGAGUACGUAACUUAAUUGGGCCAGUUAUUUACCUUAUAAAAUUAUGCAUGGUAUUGAACAAACAUUAAUAUGACACUAGAAUUACUAUACAUGUCACUAAAAGGGCAAAGGCAAAAUCAAAGCGAGGCAAAAUCUGAUUCAUACAGUUCUAGGGAAUAGUAUACUGCUAAUCAAGCUAGCUCAUAACACAUGCAUGUUCUUGCAUCCACAAGAGUUGAUCUCACUUGCAAAGGUCUAUAGUAAAUGAAAAAGAAAAAAAUUGACUCAGCAAUAAGCAAUUGCUUCCUUGUUGAUGGAAGCUUCACACAAGUCUUCUCCUUAUAGUAUAAUAUAAUGCUUCAGCUGGUUCAUAUAUUGCAUACCUGAUCGAUCUGGUUUUGGAUCGAUCACCUUCAAUAUUAAGCAUCUUGUCAAAUCAAAUAAGCUGUAGAUGGAUUCAUUAGUGGAAGGUGUUACCUACAAGGUUGCAACCGUUAUGCCCUUGGCUGCUGGCUUCCUUACCUUUGUGGCUGUGGAGUGCUUUGUUGAUCAAUUGGUCGCUCCAAUCAAAUUCACAGUUGGGCAGUACUUGGCCAAGUACCUUCUUGCCUGCAGUGGCCCUAUGGUCACCAAAUACUUGAACAUCUAGCUUGCUUACAUUCUCAGCUACAAGACCAACAUCGAGAAUCUGUUGAAGCAAGUGAAGAAGCUCAAGGCCGCAAGAGACAUGGUGCGGUGCGCCAAGCUGCCGAAGACGCCAAACAGAGGGGCCAAGUUGCAAUCAGAGCUGAAGUUGAGAAAUGGCUGACCAGUGUGGACAAGCUCACCGAAGAGGUGACCAAAUUCUUCGAGUACAAAGGUGAUGCCAACGACGGCUGGUUUCGUUGGUUCUAUGGUUUGUUGAUGUCGCGAUACCAGUUGAGCAAGAAGGCAAACAAGAUGAUAGAGCGUCUUGUUCAACUCCAGGCCGAUGGAGCCUUUCUAAUGAAUUAGUUAGUAACUUAGUAUAAGUUGCUUGUGAUUUUAACUUGUUUCUUCAGCACUUGUAUGUUUUGUAACAAUUGAAUGAUGUCUCUGUGUUUAUGAAAUAAUUUGCGUAUUGAUCGAUUUAAAAAAAAAAGAAGAAGAAGAAAAUAUCAUACAAGUUUGAUCUCCAUUAAUGGAGAUUAGGGCUUUGCCUUUCUCAUAAUUUUUUGCCAAAGGCUUUCUUUGAAUUUUCCUGAUGAAAUGCCAAUACUCCAUCUUAUGAGCAAGCACUCUCCUAACCAUUUAAUUUUUUCCAUUAUUGUCUUGUAUGCCUGCUCAAACAAUCUAAAAUCAUGAACUGCUGAAGUCGAUCGAGAUCUCAAUGCCCUUAAUGCAUGGCAGCCUUCCACUAGGCUCAGCUCAGCUUUGAUACUUCAUACUUGAAGGCACAUACUAAUGAUACUAAACAGCUCAUUUCUAUUUUCAGGUGUCUAGGCCUAAGCCCAAGGAUGAAGCAUUAGUUUUUCAAUUUUGAUAAUAAUAAUUGCAAAGUGCAAUGCUAAUUAGUCCUAAAUCUUUAAUUAGCUAGAGCAUUGACAUUUGUAGGAGGAACAAGGAUGAGACAAGAGCAGCAGAGUCUGAAACCCAAUCGGACUACAAAGUUGGAAGAGUAUUGAACUACUGAUCUAGCUUCCAAUGACCUGUCCUUGACAAUAUUUUACUUGGAACGUAUCCCAUCUGCUAGCUAGAUCGAAGCCAAAAUUCAAAUGAGUCGAACACUUGACAAUUGGCAUGAUUAUUAUAUCAGCCAAAGGGUCCUGCAAAUUAAUAACCAGAAACAUGCAUGCAUGUGGAGUUUUACACAAGACAACUAGACAAGGAUGGUGAAACCCCCAAUGAAAUGCAGAAAAAUUUGACAUCUCUAGCAGGGUUUCUGGUUUAAUUGCAAUUUUAAAGUUCCAGUAGGCUAUUGCAAUUGCAUUCAUUUAAGAAUGGGAUCCUUAAGAUCGAUGAGGAGGCAAAUGCAAACGACGGAUCCCUUAAUGGAUUCUCACUUAAUUUGGAGUUGAAACUUGUCGUAUUGCAUAGGAUGCCAAAUUUCCAAUGGGGAUAUCUUCUAAACUAGUUCCAAUUGGGGUGAGGUAGCCUAUUCCAAGACCGAGCAUUACUAUAAGGCCUCCUUGCAUAGAUCGAUAAUGCAAACUAAGAGUUCAAGCUUCUGUCAUGUUCCACAUAUCCAAACACAUAAACAUGAAAAACUCAGACCCAAUCAACAUUUCAUAAUUAAGAUACAAUCCGUAACUUAUUGCUUUGGUUGCUAUAAAAUAUCCAAGAUCUCAUUUCUAGUCUUUACCAUACUUGUUUUGUUUCUAUUAUUAAAAUUCAACAUUCAACAUCCACCUGCUUAAAAUUUUCAAUGGGGAAAGCAACAGUUUUGUAUAAGCCUAAUAAUGCACCGAAAUGAAACCAAAAAAGUCUCCAUCUUCAGAAAACUAUGAGCAAACCAGAUUUUGUCGACUUGCAGCUUAGCCAUGGUCAUCCUCUUACUUAGGGACCAUAAAGAAAUGGACAAAGGCUCUUCCAGUCAAUUUCAUAUCAGCAAUGCCCGCCGCUCUUUAUUUUUUUGAUACAAGUUGUAGAAAAAGAAGGCUAAACUGAAAUAUAUCGACAUUGAUGUAAAAAUCCCACACAAAUUUAAAAGAGAAAUUACACACUGAUCUGUAUAGUCUCCUUUUUCCUAAUUUCUAUACCUAUUUCAGGCGGUUUCAAAAAAAAAAAAAGAAGAAGAAGAAGAAGUACAUGUAUGCAUUCGUCUACGAUCUUCCAUUGGUUUGGUUAUGGCCAUUGGUGACACCAUUUCGUGCCAUGGCCAUUUCAGUCUCAGCAGCUUUAUCUGCCUCCUCUCGGAACUUCUUGUAUAUAUCACUCUGGUAAAACUUCCUUGUCCUCAUCACUAAAAUCAAUGAAACCAAUGCCCCAAAAAAUGUGGCAGCUGUGAUUAUAAUGAAGGACAACUUGAAGCACUCUCCACCAAGACAAGUCAACUCCUCGUCUUUAUUCCUCUCGAGCCCUUUGGCCACCAAUUGCUUCAUCGCCUCCUUAUCGUAUACAUGACCGGUGAGUUUCACGUUGAGCAAGUACAAGCCGACGGGACUCGCGGCUGAACCAAAAUUGUACAAAGUCGAGUAGUACUUGAGCCCGAAGAGCUCAGAAAUUAUGGCGAAGAGCAAAGGCCAUUGAGCGCCGAAGCAAAACCCUAUUAUGACCGAGGCUAGGUAGAGACCAUUUUUAACAUUGAAGGCAAUGAGGAGGUGACCAAAGCAAGAGACAAAGAGGGUUAGGGUUAGAAUGAGAGGACGAGGGAACUUGUAUCGUUUUAGUAAAAAUUCCGAGACGAAUCCGGCGACGACUCUACCGAGAUAAUUCCAUAUGCUGACCAGGCCGACGAAAGUUUUCCUGCUGCGUGUGGGAUAUCCCAACGAAGUGCCAAUCUGACCCAAGUUGUCAAUUGCUGUCAAUGUGCCCCCAACACCACAUAUGCACGCCAUGAAUAGUAUGAGCAUGUCAAUGCUGAAUAGGGCUUGAAGAAUAGUGUAGUCUUCUCCUCUAUUUGGUGGCCUAAAACAAGUUUUCCAACAAGAUUGGCUAGGUUGUUCCUCUGUGGACUCAGGAGUUUCAUAUGUGACCGGCUCCUUUGACACCUCUAAUUGUUCUUCCGUGGGAACGACUGGCUUUUCCGUCACUAUUUUGACGUCACCAUUCAUCUCGAGCUGUUUUCUCUCCCAAAGCUUGUACUCCUCGAUUACAACAACAACAACGGGAAGAGCGAGCAAGAAGAGCACCAUCGCCGUGCUGGCGCCGUACUCUUGUUGAGUAAAGUUCACCCUAUUCUCUACUAUGAUCAUGAUCAUCAGAAAUCCGGCGAGGCCGAGAGAGAUGUACAACAUGUUGUAGAACACCUGGACCUCGUUGCUUUGUCUAAUCACCUUCAUGAUCCUAAUAGUCCUCAGAAAAGCGAACGAGAUCGCCGCCGGAAGCCACCCGAUGAGCAGAAUCAAGGCCCUGGUGUCGUUGUAGUAGAAAGCAAAGUACAUCUGCGUGAUGAUAGCGCCACUGAGGCCGACGUAGCCCUUGAGAAGCCCUAAAACGACGCCGCGGCUCUCGGGGAAGUUCUUGACGCAGGUGACCAGCGAGCCAGUGUUGGCGAACGACUGAGAAUUGGCGCCGAUGCAAAUGUACAAGCACAUCUGCCAGACUUUUGGUCUCGCGAUUUUUUUGGUGACGGAGAGCCAGAUCAUUAGGUAUCCUAAGAAGUUGAGGACGGCGCCGACCAGCAGGACCACCCACGGCGGCGUGACCUCGUUGAGGAGGCCGGAGAGGAUGCCGACGUUGGAUCCAAAAUCUUUGAAGAAGCUGAGGAGGUUGAGUGUAGAUUGGUCGUAGGCUAGAGCUGUCUUGAUGUCGGGAGAGUAGAGGCCGAACAUGUAGGUGGCGCCGGCGGCGGACAUGAUUAAGAGACAUGCAAAGACCAUGAACCACCGGCCGUUGAGGACCUGGAGGGUCAGGCUUUUGGUGUCGGCCCAUCCUCGAGGACCGGAACCCGCCAUGGCUGGAUUGAUAUAUGUAUCUAGCUAGCUAGGUUGAACCAGAGAGAGCUGUAAGCAAACUUUGGUGUGGAGUAGAGAGAAAUGUAGGAGGAAUAUAUAGAGGAAGUCACACAAAGAGAGCAAGUGACAGAGAAAGAAGAAGAUAUAGUGUCACACCAAGACUUGGUUGACUACGUUUAUAAAUGGAGUAAAUGGGAGGAGUAAAUAACUGAGGAACAAGAUAGGAACGAUAAUCCGAUCCCCUAAUAUAUAUUUCAUCUUAUCCAGAGGAAAACUAAUGUGGGGAAAUUAAAGAGUGAAUUUCUUUAAUUUGGAAUCUUCAGCUUCAGCUGACAGUUAAGUGUUCCCUGCUCAUAUUACGCCACCAUUUUGGACAAAGUCUACUAUACGUACUUAUCCAAAAUGAAUAAAUAGAGAUUAAUUUUUUUUUUUUAAAAAGACGGAUAAAUAUCCUAGCACCAAAAUUUUGAUUAAAUAAAUAUUUAGAUACUUUCUUUCUAAAGAGCAUGUGCGGGUAUUUUUUUUAUAUUAAUAUUAUGGCUACUAUCAAUAUGUAAUAUUUCAUUUUUAUUACCUAAUAAAUAAAGUUCAUUAAUGUCAUUGAUUCACCCUUUAAAAUCUAAAAGGAAAGCUUCUUGAGUCUUCUUCUCUUGUGGAGGUUCUGGUAACCUAUAAAAGGAAAGCUGGACGUCCGAUUGGAAGUAAGAAGCCGCGACAAAACAAUAAGUCUGUCAUACCUCCGCAAAGCAUUCCUGUCACUUGGGAGGUUGGUACGUGCUCUUCUGAUAAGGGCAAAGGUAAGGCUUGAGCUGUUGGGUGUCCAAAUCCGGGGUGCCCAAAGUAGUUGGGCUUGGGUUCUUUUUGGGCCUGUGCUCGAUCCUUUGGGCCCCUAGGUUUGUUUGGUCCCGCAGUUUACCUAGCAUCUCAAUUUUAAUUUUUGAUAUUUAAUUCUUGGUAACUCUAGUUGUACACUAAUUGCGGUCUCUAAGCGACUAGUUUUACUUCCAAUGAAAGUUAGAUAGACACUUUGAAAUUCGGGUGUGUACGUAGGCAUAAUAAGUGAGCUUAUAUAUAUGCAGUGAGGGCUACCUAUCAGUUAGUCUGUUAGCUUGGGUUGAAUUCAAUAUUUGGCACAAGACGUUAGUUGAUGUAAGUGUUUUUUUGCCGUGGAUAAAUAAUAAAAUUAUUUAUUUAAAAAAAAAUCUAAAAGGAAAUAGAAAGGGUAGAAUUGAUAAUGCAAUAUUAUGAUUUAGAAAAAUAUAUUAUAUGGAAUUGAAAAUAAAUAUUUUUAUUUAUAUGACAUAAUAUAUAAGAUUAAAGCCACAAAUUUUAGGUCUCACCCCCUCAUAAUAUCAACGCCCUUAUUAUGUAUGACUCAAUAACUUAUUACUUUCUCACCUUUUUUUUUUCUUUGAUACGUACGUAGUUUUCUUGAAUUUCUUCCAAUACAUCAACAUGAUUAAUUCGUUUUUAUUGUUUUGGAUGAAGGUUUAACCAAGAUAACUACAAAGCCUAAGGAGCUGGGGUCCAUGCAUCUCGCCUUAUUCUAAAGGGUAGGAAGUGGCUGUUGAAGAUGCUCGAGGAGGAUGGUUUGCUAGAGGAGGUAAAUCCCUCUACUGAUUCUUCAGAAGCAAUGGAAGUGGUUGGCAAAGAGGUAACUCUGCCUCCAAAGAAGAAGCUUUCAACUGAAGUUGCUACAGUACAUGGAGAUGAAAAAGGCGGUAGUUAAAGUGGUGAACUCCACUUCGAUUAUUACAUCUGCUUGAUCGGGAGAUCGACAAGAAAAAUAAGAAUUAUGUUGACACAGUUUAUAACACUUCGGAGUUUUUAAUCUCUUUGUUUUUGGUUUUAUCUUCGUAGAAGGUGAGUGUAUUUGGAUUUAGCUAGGAUAGUUUGUGUGAGAAGCGUAUUAUGGGCAUGUCGUUAUUUGUAUUGUUUAUUGAGAUUCAUUAAUGAAUAACCUCUCUUUACCAAAAAAAAAAAAAAACGUCACAACAAUGGAAUCACGAGCGAGUUAAUUGGAGCAUCAGAUCGUACUUUUCUAUCAUCUAUGAUCACUCACAAUAUCAAAUUCCACAACGUUGAAAUUUCAUAAGAAAUGGGAACUUGUAGUACGUGUCUCUACGUACUUGCCUCAUAUGGUUACUUGCCCCUACUUGCUUUCUCUCAACAAAUAUUGUCAUACUAGUCCUCUCUUUUUUCUUUUUUUUUAUCACGUUUGAAUAUCCAGCAUUUAACCGUCCAAAAAUAAAAAUAAUCUUAAAAAUUUAUUAAGUACGUUUUAUCUAAAUUAAGUGUCUUUCUAGUAACUUUCGUUGAUGAUGAGAUUGAAUAUUAACAUGCACUCUAUGAUCACAUCUUGCUGAUUCAAGUGAAAAAUUUAGUAAAUCAACAAUCUGUUCGAUCGGUUAUAAUUAGUACUACAUAAAACAACAGUGAUUGAUUCGAUAAUAAAUCCCCUUAUCUUGAUGCCUUAUACAUAAGAAAUAAUUGGAGUAGUAGUUUAAUAUAUGAAUUCGUCAAUGUAGGUGCUGGAUAUUUCUCUAGAGCAGUUCGCAAAUGGUGAUGCAUGCUUGACGCGGAGCUAGCUCGAUCGCAAGUAGCUGGGAACACAAUACUGGAAUUUUCAAAGUCAUGCAGUAGCUUUGACUAUGAAGAUCAUGACUGAUGGAUCCGAUCGCCCCUCAUAAUAUCAGCAAUUUAUUCAUUUGUGUAAUACAAAGUCGGUCGGAAAUGUCUGGUACAAGAGCAAUCAAUAGCUUUGAGGAAAUAGUACAUCUUCAAAUAUGUGGCUAAGCCCUGCCCAUUGAUUUCUGAUCGAUUGUUCAUACGGAUGUCGAUCGAUGACAAUAUGUUGAGUGGCUAUAUAUUAAUUAGUGUUGUCUUGUUAAUUACCAAUUUUGUUCUUCUUCAAAUCAUCGUAAGAUAAAGUAUCUCGCUGGAUCAUUAUCGACAAAAUAUAAAGUCUUUAAUAUAUAAAGAGUAUUAGUUUGUUAAAUCUAUAUGUCAGUUCAAAUAUUGGUGAACAACAACAGAUCGACAACUAGAUCAUGAUCGAUCACGCUAGUUGGAUAUCAGAGUUUCGAAUGUGUGAUUCCCUUAAUUAAAAUCUUGCGAGAGUGCAAAGUACCUGAAACUCUGGUCACAUUUGUUUCGCCUUCCUUUCAUUCUUUCCAUCGUUCAUACAUUAAUCUUAUCAAUUUGUGCUCCACUACCCAACAAACAAUACAGCCUUCGUGUUUGUGUGCCUGGUAAUAUAUAAUGAAGAACUACAAUGCAUGUAUACACGGAUAUCGGAACUCCAAAUGAUCCUAAAUGAUUAAUUUUUUGCCAUCAUUUGUAAGGUCUUUAUCAUAUCGUGCGUGAUUGAAAGUCGUAUAUAUUCCCCCAAUUAGGGUUUGGAGUUAGCAAUUUAAAUUUAAAGAAAGAACAUUAGUUUGCAUCAAUACCAUUUAGUCUAGUGGUAUUAGUCUUCUAUUUGUAAGUAUGAGGUGCUAGACUCAUUGUAGCAUUUCAGUUAUUUGUUUGAUAAAAGAAAAAACAUUAGUUAAUUAAUCUAUAAUUAAUUUGGAGUUGAUUAAUCAAGAAUAAUUCAUGAUUUUAAUAAAUAAAUAUUUAAAUUCCUCUCUAACUUUAUGUAUCAAAUUUGAACGUUGGGAUAUGCCAUCACCUUGCUUGUACCAAACAAUCUUCUAUCUUAGUUUUAGUCAUUGCCAAACUCUGUCAGGUGUUAAUAAGGGAAUCAGAUCCUACGCCAUUCCCAUAUUAUAACCUUGAUCUGAUCAAAAACUCAAAUGUGAUCCAUUUUAAUAUGAAAUUCACACCCUGUCCCAUGUGUAACUCAUAAGUGCUCUUGCAAUAUAUUCGUGAAAAAUAACGACUUCAUGUUAUAUAUAUAUAUAUUGACCUAUCGCUACCUAGUGUGUAAGUUGUAUAGCAAUUAGCAUUUCAUUCUUUAAUUAUAAAUCAUUAAUUGGUCACUUUCUUCGAAAUUGGCAAUGGCAUUUCUAUUUGCUUAAUUGCUUGCUAUGUGAACUAAUCCUUAUCAUGCAUAGUGUGAUUAGCUAAUUAAAUAAAGAGUGCAUUGUUAAUUACAAUAACUGAUAAGCCAGCUUCAUAAGAAACAAAGUAUGAAUGAUAAGCUUUCAAUCAGUAUCAUUAACGUCUUAAAAGAAUGCGUUAGAUUGGAUUCUUAUGUUUUUGAUAUCGUUUAUUCAAACUUGCUGAAGGGCCAGCCUUUGCCGCACAGAUCGAACUUCUUCUAAUUGUAUUCUAAUUAGUUGAUUAGUCGUCUAUAGAUGUUCAUGUCAAAUUCGUAUAUACCUGAUAUGAACGCUCACAAUUGACCAGUUUGUUUCGUAAUCCAUUUUGUUAAGCUUAUUAGCACACACUCGAGUGAGGCAUCCAAAAUCUAUUUUCUUUAAUUUCCUUGCUCAAGUACGUAGACGAUUUGAUAUACUCCAAAUUACUCCAAUUAGUUUGUAACAGACUGUGGUCAAUGAAAUUCGCGUUUUUGGACAUUUGUAGUGAAAUUUUAGUUUUUUUCAUUCUUAUUUUACCAAACAAUGUGUCAUUCUCAAAUGACUUAUCUAAUAGUACUCACUAAUUGUUAGAUACUAUUGUAUUUGAAAAUACGAUUCUCGAUCAUUCACAAUUUGACAACUCAACAUAUGAACCGUAAGUAUAUACUCUUUUGUACUACUAACCCGACCUCGUUAAAUACUAGUUAUAUACCCGAACACAUGCUUGUAAGUGUGACGACUUUUUCGAUCGGUCCAGUCAGUACGUAGCCCUCAUAAGUUGUCAUUUACGAACAAAGCAUAGUUGAAUAUUGAGCAGACUACCCGUCACCAAUUUCUCAUACCAUAUUUGAUAUAUCCAUCCAUACAAGCCAAACCAGAGAAUUCAUACCGGUGAAAGCUACAACAUUACCUAUUCUAUACAUGGAAUCAUAUAUAGUACUAUUUUCCUCAGUACUCAUUCGUUUGGGGUCAAUGCCGCUGUUCAUACGCAAAGAGCAGCCACACGUAUACUUGCACAGAAACUUUGGAUAGAGGUUUGGUAUUCUUCUCGAGCUUGAUAUGUUGACGAUUCGAAAGAAGCGAAAGAUUUCCUGGUUGCUCUCUGUCUAUUUAUAUAAGAUCAACUCAGCUGGCUAGUCAACUCCCUUGAACAUCCGGCAUUGUAGUUUUCUGUGCUUUUGGAAAUAUGUUGAACUGAGCCACAAAGCGAUUCUGAUCUCUCUGUUUUUCGCCUUCGUAAAGUAGGCAGAGACCAAGUGUUUACACAGUGAAAGGGAAGAAAGAAAAGUCUUAAACCACAUGUUUAUGAUUCUAAUUAACUUAAUCUAUAAUCUUCAAAAUUCUGGAGCUAGACAGAUUCGCUUCCUUGUAUGCAGUUCUUUUGUUUUUGUUUUCCGAUAGUGGGUGUCAUUUCCAGCACUGAAAGGUUCUAGUUGAUGACAUCUUAAUCCAGAUCAUCAGAUUAUGUUUCUUUCAUAGAUAGAACUUAGAAGCUUCAUAUUUGACUUUGGAAAUAGGCCCUAAAAGAGCCUCAAUUUCAGACUUCGCUAGUCUUCUGGUUUUACUUGUAAAGUAGAAAGCUGCUUGAUGCUUUUCUCAGAUUCCUCUCCUAGCCGCAACAGUGACUGGGAAUUUUGACCCAUCUUGGAAUACAGAGCCCCUUGCGAAGCAGCUCCGCUCAUGAGUCCUUUCAUCCAUCUCGAAGACUCAAGAGAGAUAACUAGUCUGAAAAGAUCUAUCAUUAACAAGUUCACAAUCCCAUUGAGACAUUCCACAUGGAACUCAACAAACUUGUAUACUAGCUCUGCGGUAAGAACACGAGGGGAGAUAAUCUGGCCAAACAAUGAGUGUGGACUUUGUUAUGGUUUGGUAUCCCACAGUAGAACCAUCCAGCACGACUGAGUUAAGAAACAAAGUAAUGUUUGGACUCAAAGCACGUACUGCAGAGAGCCACAUAUGUUCCAAUAACUCCGUUUCAUCACAGUAUGCUUACACAAGGUCUAGAGACUUAUAGUUGGGGGUAUAGAAUUUCUACUACCAAAAAGACUAAAGAGAUGAAAAGAUGAACACAAACAAAUACUAAUUUUCAACAACAGGUCUAUUUUUCCAAUUAGAAUUACCCUAAUCUCUCAUGUUCCUUUAUUUCUUUGUCAACAAAAGAAUUAAAGGAUAGAAAGAGAGAGGGUUACAAGUAAUACUCAAACAAGUAACUAGUAAACGAUAGUAAUGCAUAAAAGUCCUCCUACGCAAAUUUACUUUCAACAUCCCACAGCAAGAAUCUAAAAAUCGUACACAUAACAGCUACAAGUUCAAUGAAAACUGACAAUCCCACUUUUAGACAUUAGUAGCGGUCAAAAGAAGAUGGGCGGCCUCCCCUGCUAGGGCGGUCGUAAGGGCCAGCCCUGCUACGGUAACCUCCCUCAUCUCUUGCUGGACCUCCUCUUCCAUAUCUAUCACUGCCACCUCUCACUCCACCAUCCCUGUCAUAGCCUCUGUCUUUUCCAUAGCCAUUUUGGGGGUAACGAUCAGAACCACCAUAUCUGUCACUAGCGAAACGAUCACCAGCUGGGUACCUGGAGAGAAUAAGUGCAGAAAGUACAGCAUAAGUGCAACUGUAUAAUUAAUUUUUUUUUUUCUCCCAUCACAUGUACAUAAAACAAAAUGUUUUAUUUAAGCAUUAAAGAAUAUAAAAGGGGGUCUGAAUGCACGCAACUCAAGUCUAUAAGCUAUAACCAUACAUAACGACAGAAUGGAACAAGUAGUGGAGAAGUAAUUGAUACCUGUCACUGACAUAGCGAUCACGGCUCCCAUAUUUGUCCUCCCUGCUGUCAAAACGAUCCCUAUCUCCAUAGCGCCCUCCAUCAUAACGGUCAUCCAUGUAGCGAUCAUGAUCUCCACCAAAGCGAUCCACACGCCCACCUCCCCCAAACCUAGAAUGUGAAGAGAAUGAACCUCCCCCUCCACCUCUUCCACCACCAGCAGAUGGGCAGUCUCGAGCCCAAUGUCCUGUACGCCCACACUUGAAGCAUUCAUCUUGGCCCACAGAUCUAUCACCACCUCCUCCAUAGCUUCUCCUGCCACCAGAAGAGUAUCCUCCCCCUCCUCCUCCUCCUCUAUAGCCAUGAUCAGAAUCUUCACCUCCCAUCCUGGGUUGGGCUUUGUUCACAGAGAUAGUGCGGGAACCCAAUUCCUGUCCAUGCAUCUCCCGGAUUGCAUCUUCCAUUGCUCGUCGAUCUCCAAAUGUGAUAAAACCAAAACCACGAGGACGCUUUGUAUCUCUUUCCAGCAUGAUCUGCAGAAAUUCUACAUUAGAGUGAUCAUACCCAGCGUCUACAUAAACAAAAAAAUUAGAGUGAUUUCUUCUCAACACAAUGAUACUUGCAAGAUUUGCAAGUUAGACAGAAAGAGCAUCAAACAACAAAAAUUAAGGAUGCAUUGCAUUAGACAUGUAUGACUCCACCACUCGGAAAAUUAAGGAUUCAUUGCAUUAUAAUAUGCAUUAUAAUUGCAUUCUACUAAUUCGAAGUAUCAAUAUGUAUAAUGUGAUACCACUGAACUGACAAAUGUGUUUCAAAGCAUGAUAAAUAAUGAGAAUACAAUUCAUAUAAUAUAUAAAUAGGAUAGAACAUUGCAAGUAGGGCAUGAUCCGGUUUAACUGAGAAUCUGAGAUUAACAAGCAAUUGAAACUAAACCCACACCGUAAACACACAUCUAAGAGAGGACAGGCAUUAUAAAUUAGACCAAUCAAGCAAUGAGUGAUUCAGAAUAUAUUUUAUCGUGCGAGUGACUAACUAAAGAACAAUAAAAUUGGAGACGCAAUAGGGAUUGUACCUAAAAUACGUUUUGCAACAAUCUAACUGGUAAUUAAAAAUGAGUUUAUACUUACUUUCCUUUUAUAAAUAUGGAUAACAGAGCACCAUUUCAUACUGGAAUAUUUCUGAUACUAGAAGAAUCCACAUCUGACAACAGAUGACCACUGACCUCGAAUUCCCACAACAUCAAAUGUACUGGUUCCAGCAUAAACUGUUCCAGCAUAAAUGCAUAUAGUCUCUACGCCCAGAACACUAUCACUUACACCAGCAGUUACAUCGACACCCCAAACAUCUGUCUUGUAGUCACAAAACCAAUAUUCUUCUGGCAAAGCUACACAGAUCAGCCAGAAAAAGGCAGCUCUUGCAGCAGUUGAUCUUUAAACUAUUCAAAAUUAACAACUUAUAAAUACAUCUAGUUACCCACGGCAGACAUCUCUACUCUGCAUACUAUGACCAACGUGUUCCAUAACUACAUGGCUCCAUCAGUCUUUCAACAAGUCAGAAACAGUAACCAAAACAUUCAUAAACAAGCAAGAUACUCUGUCCAAGAUAAUGCUGAUUCUCUUUCCAUCAACUAACCCUGAUAUAGUCAACACCUGAAAUCAUAUUUGUGUUUCUGGCUUUUUUGAUUUUUAGGAAAAUCCUACAAUUUUUAGUACUAUCAAAAAUUCGAACCCUCAGGUAUUAAGGAGUCUUAAAUCAAAGUUUCAACUAUAAAUACGCUAGAAACCAUCGAUAGAUAGUGAAGCAGUGAUGUUGCUGAGCUCAGACUUGUCCACACAAUAUGAUAAUCAAACAGAAUACUCCUUCUGACACUUUCAAAAGUGAAACUGAUCUGAAUGAUGACUCAAAAGACCAACAGACUGCAUUGCAAAAACGUGGUCAUAUGUGAACUUGCCAGACUGACAGUGUUGGAAGCCCCAGUGCUAAUGUCAAAAAAACUCUACAAGGUCUAGAUGAUCUUCAUUCCCCGCUAAACCAGCAUAAAUAGCUUAAUCAUCACAACAAAACAAUAAUAGCAGAUAAUAAGCAGUUCAAACAAAGUUCAAGUGCAAGGCUCAAAAGCAGCCCUAACUUCAAGUGUGCUCCUCAUUAGCAGAUGAGAGGAACCCAUUGUCAGCCAGAAACAGUUUAGAGUCACUAACCCAGACUAACCCCUCAAGCAUGAACUAACUAAAUCUGACACUUUGGAACCUCACCCAAUCAGUCAUCAGAAGUCUACUAUAUCUGAACAAAAAGUUAGCAAGAGACGACAAAAGCUUUGCGAUAUAGUAGCCACUAAGAAUCUGCCCACAUAACAGAUGAUUGAGUUGAAGUAGAUGACCCUCUGAAUUCUAUGAGAGCAGAAACAUGUGACAUGAAGGAGGAGGAGAAAUUAUCCGGCUCAAAGAUCUCUCAGAAGACAGACACAACCUUCACCGUCAUGUUUUGAAUCAAACCAACCAAAAAUAUUGGCAAGCUGAUAGAUAUAUGGGCCUUUGUUCUACUUAGAAAAAUAAAAUAAAAAAACUUCUUGCAGCAAAAGAACCAAAUCACUGGUUCAAGCAACAACCAUCUGAGGCUUCAGCACUCGAUGAAAAGAACCCAAAAACAGAAAGCAUAACUUCAGAGCAAGAAACUUCUCAUAUUUGACAUGUCAUCUGACUUGUCAUUUAGUCGUUUGAUCCUCUAAGCAAUACUUAUGGUCCAACUUCCCAACAUUACCACAGGACUUUCUUGUGGAACUCGCAUCUCUUCCAAGAGAUUAAACCUAAAAUUAGCUGCCUUGAACCAAACUCCACAAAUCGCGAGACCAUCUGCUAAUGUUUCUAUUUCCUGUCUUGAGAUCUGUAGUCCCAGCAGCUAUAAUCUACUACCAAAAACGACACACAGUCUGCAAACUCGAUGCGACCACUUAACAAAAACAGCUCUACGAAAUAUCCAUCAAUGCACGGCAUCAAAAGAUCAUAACUCCACAGAACAAGAAAACAAAAGAGCAUUAAUAUACAAAGAUAACAGCAAAGUAAAAUAAAGUAUCGUACAGAGAAUCAUCAAAACAGUAUCAAACACAUCUAUACAAUCUAUGUAGUGUACUAUAUCCAUACAAUCUCACUGCUCAAGAUCCCGAUACUACAACACCUUGCGUUUUGAACAGUAAAUUCACCAAAAUCAAAUCAAAAUUAAGCAUUUUACACUCCGAAAACCUUUGCAAGUCUCAAAUUUCAUUCCAACUUUAAAACCGAAAAUGUCAAAUUUUCUUUUUUGUUUCACAAAAUAGCACCGAAAUUCUCAAUCAAAGAAUCUAGCAGCAGAUCAAACGAGAGCCUCCAACUGAUUAACACAACCAAUCUUGAACCUUCUUUUACUAAAAUCCCUAAAUCGAACCCCGAAUUUCAGAAAGAAAUUUCAAAACCAGCAAAAAUUUUUCAUAAAGUUUUCAAGCAAAAGCAAAGAAGCUUCAACCUAUAAAGCGCAAGGCACACAAUUACAAGCGUCGGAGAACGAAUUGGGGGUUACCUGCGCUUCAUGGACUUUGCCAAAGCGAGCGAAGGCGCUCUCGAGCUCAUGCUCUGUGACUUCAUAGGCUAAACCUCCGACGAAGAUUCGGUACUCUUCUCUCCCGGCCAUCUCUCUCUUUCUCUCUUUCACUCUGUGUAUUUUGGUUUGUACCCAAACCCUAACCGCUUCGGCUUCUCUUUCUAUUGCCUCAGUCUUGCUUUGAAUUUCUUUUUCCCCUUUUCUUUUUCUAUUUAUUUACUUUGUAAAUUAGGAUAGGCCCCAAUUUUUGAGGUCCUUUUCACUUUAGUCCUCCAACUUUUGUUUUUUUUCUUUAGUGCUCCAAAAUAUUGUAAUUUUGUAGUAAGAGUUGUUAGAUUAGAUUUGAAUGAGACAUACAACUAAAUAUGACUAAUUUAAUGACUCAAUUAUAUAGUUUUAAUACUUCGGAGCACUGUGUAAUGUAAAGAAAAUCUCCAAAGCAACUAUAAAUCCCUCUAGAAUUUUGUGUCUUUUUGUAGAGAAUUGUAGUCUAAUAGUAAUUUUCUCUUCUCCAUCUUUGAUGUCAGGUCAAGUGACAAGUGUCGAGUUCGAAUCUCAGGGCGAAGCAAAGACAAGAAAGAGAAAAAAGAACUGAUCGAUCUUGAUUCAUUAUAGCAUUGGAGGAUGAAACAAUUGCAAAUAGUUACAGCUGUGAAAGAAUUACAUCAAUGGACAUACAUAAUUUACAGGGCUGUACAUGAAAUGGCACAGGUAUCAACAAGUGAUUGAAGUGUGAUCAACUUUCAGGCUUUUCAUCCCUACUUCUAUUGUUCUGAUAAAAGGGGGAGCCUAGUAACACUGCUACCACCACCCCCACCAGUUAGUGAUUUAGAGUUGGUCGAUUUUAUAGAACCGGAUUUUACAGGUUUUGAUGAACUCUUCUUGUUUAUCCUCAUGGGAAGAAUCUGCAACCUCGGAUUGCGCUUAGUGCCUGAAUUUUCAGCUGCCAACUGAUAACUUUCCACCAGUUCCAGCUGUCUAGCAAUUAUUUCGGAGCAUCUUGGAAGGAGCUCUACUGCCUCUCCACCAGGAAUUACAAUAUACUCGAUUGCAAGUCGAACCUCCUGACACAAACAAAAGGAAAUAUGUGGUACCAUUAAGCAGAUGAUAUAUGCUGACAGAUUCAAAAUCAGAAAUACUGAAAGCAAAUGUGGAGUUGCAUAGCGUACAACAGAGAGGACAAUUUCUCAGAAACUGCCGGUAGAGGUAUCCAUAGAAAAUACGUGGGAUGGGAAAGGAAAUGCACCUCCAAUGCAUCGAUCUCUUCUAAAGAUGGUUUUCUUUUGGGUGCAUCAUCUUCAAUUUCAAUGUCAAAGGAAUUAUUGACAAGCUGCUUUGGCAAAGAGCCAACUGAUUCCAUUUCAAGAAUCAUACGAACUGCCUUCACGAUUUGAGCCAUGGUAUUUGACUGCAAGAUAAACAUCAAAUAUGUGAGUGAGCCCCAGCAAGAUUACAGGCAUAUACAGAUACAAUACAUAGACACAGAAAGUCUAAACGGACAUUACCUUCAUGACAAAUACAGGCAACUGGUGAAAUUUUGCUACACUACGGAUCCAUGGGUUUUGCUUCAUUUCAGCACUUGAUGCUAUAAUUGCAUCUGCUGUUCCAAUAUCAUCAGAUACCUCAAUUUCAUCCUCAAGCCCCAUUACCUUUGCUACUUGCAGUAGGUCAGCUUCAAGGAUCUGCAAACAAACAAAAAUGAAGGGUCAAUUGAGAUCAUCUGCCUAGUCAGCAACUAUUGACAAUACAAGUUCUUAGGGGUUUUGGUCAAAUUACAUCCUUCAUGGGUGUAGAUUUCCAAUUAAAGCAGAAAGUGAACCAUGUGGAAACCAAGUAUUUUACCUUGUAUGUAUAUAUACACACUGGUGAACUUCUCUUCUUCGCAGAUUUAUCACUGCUCAAUCUUCUAGACACAUUGGGUGGAGGAUCUAGAUCUUCCUCGUCAGACUCCAAAACACUAGCAACUAUGUCUGUAGUAACAACAAAAUCUGAUGCUUUCAGAUAGUUGUGUUCAGAGAUUUGAGUAGGCAUGCAAGAGUCAUCAGCAUCAGCAUCAAUACGACGAACUUCAAACAAAGGAGAUUUCCCUAUAAGCCAGAAACCUUCAUAUCAGAUUAGGUGUUCCCUUACAACUACUCAAGUAAUAAGUACAGAUUCUAAAGGAGAAAAUGUGAAGUACCAGCUAGUAUAGCAUCAACUGUUGCAUCUAAUCUGUGAUGAACACGAAAUUCUGUUUUAGAUAUGAUCUCAACAGCACAUGUAAAUGUAGGAGGCCCCUUUCUUUCAAGAAUUGUCUUUUGAACUUUCCUCUUUCUCGCUUCUUCAUCUCCCAGGGUCACACUCUGCAAUUUACAUGAAGAAUUCCUUUAAUCUAUCAACAUUUCUUAUCCGGGAACUGCUUAAAUGGUAAUACCAAUAAUGAAUGAUCAUUGCACUGGAAAGGAUAAUUCAUACAAUAUGGCACCUUGCAGAAUUAAUGCCACUUUGUAUACCCUCUUUUAUUUGGUUAAUCACUUUGUACACUUACAAAAUGAUAAACUUGAUGCAUACCAGAAACACAAUUGAAAAAUGUAUAUAACUCCAAUUUGAAUGAAUAUAGAGUGGAUGGCAUUGUACCUCUAUGCCACCAACAAGGAUUUGUAAAGAAGGAUUCUUUAUGAUGUUGUCUAUUGUCAUUCCAUGUGCAGUUCCAACUAGUUGAACUCCUCUUUGGGCAAUAGUGCUGGCAGCCAAUGCUUCAAGCUCUGUCCCAAUUUCAUCUAUUAUAAUGGUUUGAGGCAUAUGAUUUUCAACUGCUUCAAUCAUAAUCUGCACAAAAGGAAAGGGCAAAAGAGAUUAUACAACCAAAUGAGUUGCAAAAGCGUAAUACUACUGGGGAACUAAAGCAACAGUGACAGAAAUGAGCCCUAUAAUCAAUGUCAACACUCACAUUAUGCUGCAUGUUGACAUUAGGAACUUGCAUCCUCCUUGCACGGCCUAUUCCUGCAUGCGGAACAUCUCCAUCUCCUCCAAUCUCAUUAGAUGUAUCCACUAUUACCACACGCUUCAUAUGCUCAUCUGCCAACAUUCUAGCAAUUUCUCUGCACCAACAACACAUCCAAACAAAAUUCAGAACAUCUUCGCUCUUUGAUUCCAGGUCACAGUAGGAAAACAUCAAAGUAGUACAUAUACCUGAUCAAGGUCGUCUUGCCAACUCCGGGAGGUCCUAUCACCAAGAUUGAACCUCCACCCUCAACCAAGUCGCGGAUGACCUCGGCACUCCCUGACACCGCUCUCCCCACCCGGCAAGUAAGUCCAAUGAUUUGCAGCUUUCGGUUUCGAAUAGCACUAAUACGAUGUAACGAGUUAUUAAUUCCAGAACGGUUAUCAUCCGAAAACUCACUAACCUGCAAACAAAACAAAAUUUCCAAAAUCGAAUAAGAAAACAUACCAAAAAAAAUAGUUCCAUCUUCAUCAAUCAACUUCUAAGUAAGCAUAUAAAAAGUUGCAGUCUUGUUUAAAUUGUUUAAAUAAAGUGAUUAGUUACCUACUAAAGAAUUAAACCAAUAAUUAACACCGCUAACCACCAAAAUGGCUUAAUUACUAUUUCUAGAGAACAAUUGUCACAGUCUUUUAUCACCUUAGAAACAGCGAGCCGGAGAUCUUCAUGGCUGACCGGAGUCUCCGAGAUCACCCAAUCACCGGUCGGAAACCUCGCGAUCGGAGGCCGCCCCAAAUCCAUCACAACCUCAAUGAGCUUCCCGAUCUCCUCAUGCCUGUACAGCUCGCUCUUCAUCCUCUCCGGCAGCAGCUCCAGAAACAUCUCCAUCUCCGUCCGCGACGUGGACGCCGAGCUCCCGGAACUCGAAGACGGAGAGUUACCGGAGAAGAACCGAUCCGAGGGGCGGCGAAUCUCCGGCGCCGGCGAGGUGGAGGAGUGUCGGGACGAAGCGAUUGACUUGUGCGCGCCACGUGUCCGACGAAAUGAGGAGGAGAGUUUGGAGGUGUGGAGAUAGCAGAGGGUGGAGAUGGGGAUUUGGUUGGCCGAGUGCCAUGAGGUCUGGAGAUCGAGUAGCACCAAUUGCGAGCUCAGAGCUCUCAUUCUGUUACAGACUGGGAUUUUGCUUUGAUAAUUUUUUUUUUUUUUUUUUAAGCUAACGAUCGGCGAGAAGAUUCGGGGGUAUCUCCACUGGGAUUGGAGCAUAUUUUGGAGGGAAGAUGGGGCCCACUAACCAAAGAAGUUCAUACACGUGGGGGCUGCUUCAACAGCCACACAAUUUUCCUCACCCUCCUUUUCAUUUUCAGACAAAAUAGAAUUCUCGAAAAUUUGUAUUUCUCUGUUCCUUGGUGUAUACGAUUGUGAAAAAUACACACUACACUGAGUACACGUAUAGAUUAGUCUGAUUCUGCUGAAAUAUUUUCAUGAAUCUCGAUGUAAAUAAUUAAAUACUGACGUGGUGGCUGUGUUGAUCAAGGAUAUAAUUGAAGUAGCUUGAUAUCUAAUUUUAACCCAAGUAGCUGAUAUCUAAUUUUAAGAAGAAAGAAAACAAGGAUGAAAAAGAAAAAAAUUGUAUGAAAGGCUGGAUGGCAAAUCCCAACACGCUUCCAGUCCUAUAGGAAUGGUCCGAAUGUGAGUAGGAGGAAAUUUUGUACUUAGUUGACGUUGGAAACUAUCAACUUGAACCAAACUAAAUGAACAUAAUUUCAGCCGUGCAAGGUUGGGGCAGGUCACUGACAAAGACGGCACCGCUGUGGCUGCUGACUAUUUCGGAAACUCAUACUAUGGUGGAAGAUCAAAGAGAGAAAGAAAUGCUAAGCAGUUGGCAUCUACUAAGAUGGCAAGUUCUAGGAGCAAUGCAAGUCAAGGUGGGAGGUAUGGGGGGUUAUGCAACUGAUAAACGGUCAUUUAUUUAUGCACAUUAUACGGUUUACACUUCAUACUCGGUUAGAGUAUUGCUGCAAUAUAGGCUUGAGGCUCAGAAACUACGCUGUACAUUGAUAAGGAUGGAAGCUGCUGACUAAAUUUGGCGCAAUCUAUUCCCAACCCAUCAGUAUAUUUCUUACACCUUCCUCGAUUUUGUUCCUUGGCACCGAAGGACAGAAUCCUUCAUCUAGCAGGAAUCUGUAGACCUCCCACUCCCGAUCUCGGAUCAUGUGUCUCACUAUCUCAGCCUGAAACAAGUUGGUAAAGAACACAAUGAAUGGUAGAAGGACGAAUUAUGUUGGAUAUCAAACCAAGAUGUAGGAUAUCACUGGAAUAAGACACUUAUAGUGGUGGUUAGAGCUAAUACCGAGAAGAUGCGUGUGCUCAGAUCUUUGAGGGCAAGAGUAAUGUCAUAAAAGACAAGAGGCCGGCCCCUGCCGGACAACUCAACCGGGUUUGCUACCAACAGCUCGGUGUCAGGGCCGCGGUUCACCACAGCCACACGAAGCGGACACAAAAGCUCCGCUCUCAAGCGAGAACACAAGGCAUCUUGCUUCUUGCUGUCAACAAUCUUCUUGCCAUCUGGUUGCACUACAAACAAGUCCAGCUCACAAUUCCCUUUUGUGUUCUCAUAGAAUCGUCCAUAAGAAACCUGAUAUUAAACCCAUAUUUUAUAUACAAUGGUCAGUAUUAUUCACUAAUAUGGUAAAUCACAACAACAACAAAGAGGAGGACUAAAUUGAAUUUUAUCAGCCAAAAAAGGCUAGAAGCACUGGCAUGAUACAAACCUUUUGCUCGCCAGAACUCACUACUGAUUAUAAAUAUAUCAAUUAUACCAACUUUACUUUACAUACAUCUCUCUAGUAUGAUUUUACCUGAACUCCUUGACCCAUGUAAAGUUUAUUGAAGUUUUAUUAGGAGAUUGAGAGCAUACAUCAAGCAUUUAACGUCAAACUAAUUAGUUUCUGCAUACUAACAUCUAUAUUAACAACAAUGACAUGUUUGAUGUGAGAAGGUAAAAUUGUGAACAGACCCUAAAAUUUUAUUUCUCCCCAAAAUUACAUAGCUUAAAAAAGAUGUACCUGAAGGUUGCAAUCCUUUAGUGUUCUCAUGAUGUCAUACACUAGACCUUUAUGAUCUGGACAGAAUAUUUGAACUAGUGUGUGAGAUGGGCUGAGGUUAUUGUCCACUGUUAUCGAAAUGGGAAUGGAGGCAAAAGGUCUUUUUAGGUGGCCGUUGGUCCACUCCAAACUUAACAUUUCUUCAGUGAUUUCAGAAGGAAGAUAAUGAGAACCCUGUGAACAUGCAGUAACUUUUGACUCGGCCAAUUCAAUUUCACAACCCAAUAAGACAUUCCCCAAGACAGCUUUCAGGCAAUGAAUUGUUUCAUCUUGCCGUCUUUUUGUAUGCAGCAGUUCUCUGAUUGAGAAAGAGAAAGAAUAUGAUUAGCCAUAUCUUAGGAGGAAAGAUGAAACAAUCUCAGAACUGACCCUCAACUGAUGUGCCCUCACACAGACACGAUGAUACACUAACACCUAGACCGGUAUAUAAUAAUUGCAAAAACAAGUUUAAAGAACCUAACUGAAAAUAUUUUGCAAACAAAAAUUGAAGGAACCAUGUUGAGGAUCUGUUUCUCUUUUACUCUAGAAUGAAACUUGAGAAGUAGAUAUACCAAAAAAAGAAAGAAAAGGAAAGGCAGAAAUGAUGCACCAUAUAUAGAUAGGGAAAUAAUGUCAAGAGUGACAAACCUGGUAUCUGUAACAAAAAAAAGGUCCAUCACUUUCCCAUCUGGGGUAGUAGACACCUUCACUCUCUCUAUUGUGAGUUCAAGCUCACAAAGAACCUUAGUGACAUCUAUUCAGUAAAAAGAAUCAAUAAUAAUCCCAAACUAAAAAUAUAUAGAAGUAUAGAUGGCACUUUUUUCUCAGAUAUAGAUACAUCGAAACAAGUAGGGUAUACCAGGUAAAGGAAAUGAAAGAAAAGACACAGAUAGAACCAUCACUUCUACAUUGAAGUUGCCAAAUGGAUAUGCACCUCAUUAUUCAUUCAACAUGACCCCUAGUUUGAUUUCUUUUCUCUAAAUGGGGAUAAUACAAUUACUGUACUCAUCUAUGCAUAAAAAUAGAUCACAAUGUUAAAGCUUUAAAUAGGCCAGUCUGAAGAAUAGUUUAUGAGUAACCUCAAUCAAUUUCAUAAAUUACUAAAUUUGGUAAAUUUUAGUUUAUACAUUAUGAGGGAAAUAAAAACUACUGAUAAAGCUUACAUCCUCGUAUACUGUUAUACAUAGAAAUCAAUUAUUUUCAGUCAGUACUCAGAUAUAGUCUAUAGUCUAUAUGAAGAACCCAAAUUGUCAUCAUUAUAAAGAUCACCGACUCUCUCUCUCUCUCUAUCAUCAUAACAAAAGAAGUGAUCUUUUCCAGCUCAAACUGUUACUAGGAUAGUUGCAUUGAAGAUUGAGAAAGUGUGAUGAAUCAUUUAGCAAGAGCAAACAACCGAAACAUUACUGUUAGAACCCAAAUGACAAAAUUCUCUAAGUCUUGUUCAUCUAAGUAAAAGUAAGCUGUGAAGAAUCAAUUCAGAGUGAACAAGUAAUCAUGCAAUGACAAUCUUGGAAAUGAAAGUUUACCAUGCAAUAGGCCUUCCUGUUCAUAAGAGCACCAGAAUUUCAAAAGGAACACAUCUAGUGGCUUCGGCUGCUGAUUCUCCGGCCGAUAAUAGUAUAUCCCAGAAGUGGUAAAGUAUGAUGGACACACUUCUAACAAUCUCUUUGUCAGCAAAUUCCACCUAGUCUCCGGCUUUCCCACCACCCAAAACACUAUGUAGCACCAUUUUCCGUCGGUCGAAACAUCUUCAACACAAAAGCAACAAAAAAUGUUCACUUUCAUCAAAACAGUAUUGAAUUCUACUAAUUUUCCACUACAAAUUCUAUGAUCCAUCAAGAAUGCCUUACUUUCUGCUUUACAACAAAAGAUCCUAAACUGAAGACUCAUUCUUUGUGUCUCUCUAAAGCUCGGAUCGACCAAUUAGUGUUUCAGCAAACUUCAAUAAAAUUCAUUACAUGCAUUCUCAAGAAUUUCAGAUCCAAAUAGUAAAAAACUUUUCAAUGUUCAAAACAAACCACACCACUUUCCCAGCUCAAAAUAAAAAACCACCUCCAGAAAAACCUCAAAUUACUCAGAAAAACAAAGCAAUCAAACCAAAAGCUUAAGAAAACCUCACCUCCUCUGCAAAUGCUCAGCCCAAACAACAAUAUGACCCUGCACAGAUCACAGCCUAACCCAGUUUUGUCGGGGCAAUUCACAGUGACCACAGUGGGAUCUCCAGCCUUCUCUCCCUGGCUAAUCACUACCACGUCCUCAUGCAAAAUGCCCAUUCCCGCCAAGUUCCUCUGUUUUUUUUUUUUUUUUGUUCUCUGUUUUCCGGUGACCAGAAAACUGAGCAAAAAGAUACCCAAGUUGGGUCUGGUGGGUAUCUUCCGAUUCUUGCUCUUGUUUUUUAAUGAGCAAAAUUAGUGGGAGAUUCCAAAUAAUAGAGGAAGAGUUUGAGAUCAGAUAGAAUCAUCCAGAUAGAAGAUAACAGAUGAUGGUUCUGUUUACUUAUGGAAUAUCAAUUUCUCAUAUUUAUCGGUGGGAGAGACUGAGUGAGAGACAGAGAUUAAAGUCUUCGAGACGUGGUGAGUAGGUGGACUCGAGUAUAGUUGAGACUGAUUUUCAAAGACAACUUUUUCGGUGUUGGUUUCCGACCGUCCUUAAUUUUCUGCUAUUUCAUGAAAACUAACAAAUAGAGUUUGGUGAAGUUCAAGUGGACCGGAAUCGUCCUACUAUAGGGGAACACCAUUAAUCAAUUUUGUUUUACAUGAUUUUGUUAUAAAUGAAAAAGAAUUAUGAUUAAUGAUACAGUCAUGAUUUAUUAGUAUAAAAUCUUAAAAAGGAAAUGGCCAUUAAGAAAUUUUUGGUUUCUAUAAAAAAAUAUGUCGACGGCAAGUCCCCUCAUCAUAUGUGGAAAUUGCGAAAUCGGUAGGUUAUUUAUGAUAUACAUACAUGGAGGAAGAUGCUACCGGUUCGUUGGGAGGUGGCAGAGAUAGAGAUCUAGUUUCAAUUAGUGUUGAAUGCCCUUUAUUGUUUCGAGUCAAGGUAUGAUAUUAGACUUACUAGUAGGUCAACAUAUUUAUGAGUUGACUGAAUUAUAAGCUGAUUUCAUGUCUAGUUACUCAUGUUGCUCUUAUGUCAAUACGGCUCAUGAUUCAAAAGUUCAUUAUAAGUAACGUUGCGAGCCUCCGUUGAGAAGCAAAAGAACCUAAGAAAAUUUUGAAUUCAUCGGUAUUUUAGAUAAAAUCUCAACAGUUCAUUUCUGACUAAUUUGGUGCUAAUCUCUUAUAGGGCUGAAUUCAGACGUUGCAUAAUGUGAUAUGUUGAAGUUUACGUAAGAAACUCGUAUGAAUGACUAUAAUGAAAAAUGCACAAAGGAGUACCAUAGUUCCCCAAAUGUAGACCAACAUUACGAAAAGGAAGGAAAACCUUCACCGAACACAUUUGAGAAAAGCACCUCACGCACAACUUGAUCUAGAGUGAGAAAUUGAAAAAUGUUGAAAAAUUAUUCUUGAUUCUAAUAUGCCAUUCUAGAAGCUCCAAAAGCUAGUGAGGUCAUGUAUGAUAUAACUUCGCAUGUAAAAAAAUCAGCUUUUUAUUCAAAAAAUUUAGAUUUUAUAGUGUUUAGCAAAUUAAUGAAAAUCAGCUUUAAAAUAAAUAAAUUACAUGUUAUUGCAAACGCUUUAAGAAACAAUCAGAAUGUUACUUUUAGAAGCUAUUGUCAAUAAAAACACUAAAAAAUAUUACAUUUUGUAUCUGCAUCAUUUUUAGAACUACUAUUACUAAACACAAACCAUUUUAAUUCAUAACUAAUUAUUUUCGUAGUACAACAACUACAUUUUUUCUACUUCUUAAAGUCGCAAUAACAAACUAACCUUGAUUUGAGUUCAAAUUUCCUUAUUUUCACUCAUCCGGGACUUAAAACGUGAAAUAUAAAUUACGUUAUAUGACAUGACACCGAUCCGUAAACGAGUCGCAAGAAACUAUCUGCUACACAUGUCUUUUUUUACAACAAACGGUCAUAAUUCGUAUGACAACUAAAGUUGUAUUGUGCUAAACUAACCCAUAUCUUAGCAAUUCAUGUCUUGUUAUCACACAAUAUAAGAAUGCAAAAAGUCAUAAAGAAACUAGAAAGUUUUGAACAAUUCUUCUACUCCCAUACUAAGCACUUUAGAGUUGUUUCAAAAUGUUUCGAUAGAGCGCGUCCUAGUGACCGACCCUAGCAGACUUGGAGGAGUAUGUUGUGGGAGGACAUAUAUUACAAUAUUGAAGUUCUUCCUAGAGAUGGAGCUCCAAAGACCCAUCUUCGUACCAGCAUCAAGGUUGUGUGAAUCAUCGACAUGAUUAGAAAAAUCCUCCUUAGUUGGAGUGCGGAGAUCGCUCUUCUUGCAGCGGUACACCGACGAAUCAACACAAUCAUGAGAUAUCUUUUGACGAAAGCCUGCAGCUUCUCACUUGGGAGGUUAGUAAACGAAAGCUUACUCUUAUGAGCCAUCCUCUUCUUCUCUCUUAUUCAUCCACUGAGAUUCUCUCUUCUUAAAUAACAAAAUUAUCAUUGAAAUAUCGGCGAUUUAAUCUUUACACAACAUGAGAAUAUCUAAAUAUUGCAAUAUUUGCGCGAAACUCACGAAAUCUUGUUAAUAAAUCAGCCCAUUUCUCUUUAUUGAGAAAUCGAAGAAGCUAUCCAAAAGGUUUUGCCAAGCCUACUCGUAUAUAUGGUCAUUAACUCGGCCCAAACUUAUGAAAUUAACACUAAAGUCUUGGCGUAGCGUAGGUAACAUGAUUCGAACCCAGGUUGUCACAUGUUAUAUCUCACAUUCUCAACCAAUCCUCUUAAGUCUUAAGAUACACUUAAUAGUCUAUUAUAUAAACUCUACAUAUAUUUUCACACUUUUAAACUUUCCUUUCGAAAUUUUAUUAAUAUCACUAUCAAAAUAUCUAUUUUUCUGACAGUCGAAAUUUUCUCGAAACGCGAUAUUUUAGUCCUUAAUUUGAUGCCUAAGCUACUUCGCUCCUCCAAACUGGGCCGGUGUUGGAUCAAACAAACAGAAACUUGAAAGGAGGAGAACGAUACAAGUCAUACAACUACGUUGAUUUUAAACAGAAACUUGAAAAGAGAACGAUACAACUACGUUGGUUUCUAACCCAAUGGAUGCCUAUGUUUGGGCCAAUAUUCCAUUUUCCUUUUUAAUAAUUUUUUUUCUUUCUAGCAGCUAGACAGCUAGUUAACCAAUUGUGAAGCUACACAACUAGGACUUGCAGCGGAAAACGACUACCACGCGUUGCAUGGAGAGGUUAGGUCCUGCAUGCAACUCCGCCGCCCGUAAAUCUCCUACUGACAGCUCUACCCCUCGAUUUGCAGAUACCGAUGUAUAACCCGAGGACAAAACGGUAAUCGUUGAUACUCCGAGCCGGACAUAAAACCAUCCAAGAACAAAGAAGAGAACCACCACCGGAAAAAUGGCCGGACCACCUCUACCUCCACCUCUUCUAACGUGUUUGGUGGGUGUUGCAGUCUUAAUCUGCGCACUAACCCUCUGUGUUGCCCUAGAUGUCAGCCCCCAAGACCCAAUCAUCCACCAAGUCACAGACCAUGAUACUAAUAAGCUCCUUGGAACCGAAAAAGAGUUCAAGAUUUUCAUGGAGAAGUAUGGGAAGAAGUACCCUACUAUGAAGGAGUACAUGCACCGCCUCGGUGUUUUUGCCAAGAACAUGAUCAGAGCCGCCGAGCACCAAGCUCUGGAUCCGACGGCGGUUCACGGCGUCACGCCGUUCUCGGAUCUGGAGGAGGAGGAGUUCAAGAGGAUGUACACCGGCGUAAGAGGUGCGCCCGGCUUAACCAACGGCGGAGGCGGUGCGGGAAGCACGGUUGAGCUUCUGGAUGUUAGCGGGUUGCCUGAGAGUUUUGAUUGGAGAGAAAAAGGAGCUGUUACUGAGGUCAAGAUGCAGGUAGUUAAUGUUACAGUUUCUAAUUUUCGUUUUUUUAUUAUUGUUUUUUUAGGUUGGUACUACACAAUAUAUGUGAUUAACAGUUUCGGACCGUACUUAAAUCCUAGCUUAUUGCAAAUCAAGUUAUGGCAAAUACGAUAUAGAAUUCUCGUAGCUGGUUGUAAAUUACUAAAUUGUGUAAUCUGAAGUCGAUCAGCUGAUCAGGUGCUGCUGGUUCUUUUGUUUAAUUGAUUGUAUAACUAGCUUGUGUUUGAGAGUUUGAAGUUUUGUACAGAAAGAUUUGUCUAAUGGAGCUAGGGUGUUUGUGGAACACGGAAUUUUUCUUCAGGCAAGGCGUUGUAUUGUGAUACUUAAAGCCUCUAAAUCUCUUGUUAUGGAUGCAGGGUGGCUGUGGGUCAUGCUGGGCCUUUAGCACAACAGGAGCUAUUGAAGGAGCCAAUUUCAUUGCCACUGGGAAGCUUGUUAGUCUCAGUGAACAGCAGCUUGUUGACUGUGAUCACCAGGUAAUUAAGCCUAGCCUCUCUGGAAUAUAUUGAAGUACUCAUUUAACUUUAGGGCGAUAAAAAUUUAAUUGAUUGAGCAUAUAUAUAAUAUUUGGCAUGCCUACUUAAUUAGUUUCGUUUAAUGUUUGUGGCAACUAUAAUCAAGUGUGAUGCAAAAGAGAAAGAUGCAUGUGAUCGUGGUUGUGGUGGCGGACUUAUGACAAAUGCCUACAAGUAUCUAAUGGAAAGCAGGAGGGGUUGCAAAGACGAGGUUUCAUACCCUAUACGGGGGAAAAAAGGGGCGAAAUGCAAAUUUAAUCCCUGAAAAAAGUAGCCGUGAGAGUAACCAAUUUCACCACUAUUCCCCUUGAUGAGAAUCAGAUUGCAGCGAACUUGGUCCACAAUGGUCCUCUUGCCAGUGAGUACUAAACCUGAUAAUAUGCUUAAAAAUAGCUAGGCUUUUUAUGUAUCUAUGUGUGCGUACAUAGAACUGCCUUAAGUGUCUUAUUUUCUGAAUAUGAUGUGCACUGUUUAGCAUAUUUAGAUCUGAGUGUAGAUACACCCCACUGAUACAGAAUCUUAAUUGAUGUAUGUAUGCGCAGUUGGCUUGAAUGCUAUGUUCAUGCAAACCUACAUUGGCGGUGUGUCAUGCCCUCUUGUUUGUUUCAAGAAAUGGGUGAACCACGGUGUUUUACUUGUUGGAUAUGGUGAGAGUGGCUUCUCGAUUCUCAGGCUCAGCAACAAGCCGUAUUGGAUCAUCAAGAAUUCAUGGAGCGCAAAAUGGGGAGAACAUGGUUAUUACCGACUUUGCCGAGGCCAUGGCAUGUGUGGGAUGAAUACUAUGGUGUCUGCAGUUGUGACCAGUACUCGGGCAUCCUAGCUGCAUCUCCCGAGAUUAGCUAGUAUACAAUUAUACACUAUAAUAUAUAUAUGCACCUCUCCCUUGUUUUUUCUUAAUCCGAAUUUGAUGUUCCUAUAAUCAUAUUUCAAGAAUAUUAUUGUUAAUAUGCCGAAGUGGAAAGUCUUGUUUACGUCAAAACCAAUUCGAACCAUAUUAUGUUAGCUUUAAAUGCUAGAUUGUCAGACUUCAAAUUUAAGUCGGGAAAAUUUUACAAUGUGUUAAUGUAUGUCAUGUAUUAAUUUUAUCCUAAAAUUGUAAAAUGAGUCUCUAAAAUAGUAAUAUUAGUACUCGAAGUUGUAAUAUAUAUGAGUAGUUGUAAAUUUUAUAGUUACAACAUUAGUCAUCAUGUGUCCUUAAUGUGUCUUUAAAGUAAAUUUUAUAGUUACAACAUUAGUUAUCAUGUGUACUUAAAGUGAUAAAUUGCGUGCUUAAAGUCGUAAUUGAAUCCUUAAAGUGAUUAAAAAAAGUUUUUAUAUCUUUGAGGAUUUGUAUUACAACUUUGAGGACUCAAUUACCAUUUUAAGGACACAUGAGGAUUAAUGUUGUAACUAAUUUUUUUUACAACUUUAAAGACUUAUAUUACAACUUUGAGGACUAGUUAAUAUUACUCCCGUAAAGACUCGAUCAUUUUAUAACUUGAGGACAAAGUUGAUGCAUCACAUGCAUUAACACACCAAAGUUGAUUCUCCACAAGCUUGUUGAAGAACUUGGUAGAAGUUUUGAUUUGUUGAAAGGCUUGAAGACGAGGGUUGAUCAAGGGCCGUAGAGGGUUGACGUUGAUCGAGUUUGGGCCACGAGCAGUUCCAUAUGGUGGUUGCUCUUCGUCUUGUAGUUGGUGAAGAUGUCUGCUAUUUAGCAAUUUGGGACUCUUUGGGAUUUGGCAACUUCUAAGCUUGAGAUUGAUGAAGAAUCGGCUAUUUGGCAACUUGAUGAUUCUUCAACGGUUUUGGGAGAAUUCUGAGUUCUCGGGAGUAAUUUUUUUCUCUUGUCCGGAAGUCCUUAUCUUGAUAUGAGAGGGGGUAUUUAUGGUGUCGAUGCUCCUCCGUAAAUAGAAUGCAUUAAAGUCACAACUUUAAUUGUAUUUCCUUAAUGAUAUAAUUAAAUCAAUCACUUUUGAUUGAUUGAUUCAAUUAUUCAAUUUACUAUAAUUAAAUCAAUCAAUCUUAAUUGAUCGAUUUAAUUAUGACCGAUAAGGUAUUUCACCAAUUUGAUUAAAUUCCGACUUCCUUUUCGAUAAUCGAUUUGAUUUGAUUGAUGUUUGAUUAUCGAUUGACAUUUAAUAUUUGAUUUUAGUCGGGAUUGAUGAUUUUGUUGUCGACCGACCAUUAUCAAGCCGCCAUGUGUUAUUUCCGAAGACUUUUCAACUUUGCUGACUCACGAGCCACGUAUGUAAUUUGUCAGGCCCAUGGGUUGUAUGAAUAAUUUAAUAAUUAUUAUUCUCAUUAAAUUUUAUGCGUCUACAAAUACCCCCACUUUAAGGUGUGUUGUAGUCAUGUUGUUGUCACGUGUCAGAGGUGCGACUUGAAGUUAUUUUUGAUGACACUUGUGGCGUGUUUUGCCAUCCACUCGUUUUUACGUCUGAAAUAUUGGUCCGUACCAUGAUGACAUUUUUGUUGCCUUUGAAAUUUGUAUUUUGAACGCUUGAGAAUCAUGCAUUGCGACCUUUCCAUAUGUUUAGAAUACAUGAGCAAUUUGCAUGCUUAGUGGAUAUGAUCUUCAUUUGAACAACUUCCAUACGUGGCUUUAAAUUUACCCGUCUCGCAACUAUUUUCAAUUGGUAGGAUUUGAAUGAGAGAUGAAAGCUUUUCUUUUCUUUUCUUAUCGAUUGAUGCGUGGCUGACAUUUCCUUCAUUGGUAUAAAUAAUUACCACCUUCUAAAUGAGUUUGGUCUUCUACAAGUAAGAAAUCGUGUAAUGGCUUGAUGACUUCUUGACCAAAUAGAAAAGUGAACGCAUGAUGACAUUAUAAAAUUGUACUGUAGGGUUUUGCCCUAAUCACUGUAUUCUCUUCCGUAGCUAGCCGCCCGCCCGUACUUCUUGUAAUUCUUUCUUCCUUCUUCUUUUUCUUUUUCUUUUUAUUUUUUUAUUUUACUGUAGGCCUCAGUCGUGAGUGAAGUUUGGUACGAAAAUAGGUCCAACCUUGUACCGCGAACUUGACAACGAAAUUGUGGAGGCAGGAUCAAUGCGAUGGUGCCAUGCAAUUGCGUUGUCGUAAUCCUCUCUAUUGUUUGAUUAUUGAUUUUACUAUCGCAUGCCUCCAUGCUUACUGACCCAUCCUUAUGCAUAGUGUAGUCGAUAUAUUUUUUUUCAGUUGCGGCUGAAGGGUCAUCUUUUCGGCAAGCACAGUUGAAGAAAACCCACGAGGUACGCACAGUUGAAGAAAACCUUCGAGAGACCAGAGCCUUGAGGUACUACUUUUGUUUUAGUUGAUUUUCUUAAUCCUUUGGCUUGUCCAUAUGCUUUCCGGAAGGAAACAAAGAUUGUCAAGAGUGACAACCCUCGUUUUUCAUGGUGGGUGAGCUUACUCUUUAAUCAACUUUGAUUGUCAUCUCAUUAUGCAAAGCGGCAAUUUUUUUUCUUCGCCAAGUUCGGCAGCAGCAUGGUACUAACUCUUUUUUCUAUUUUUCUUUUCAGAAUUUUGAUGGCAAAUUGAAGAACGCGAACACCUAACCGCUUGGUUUCUUUUACGUCUUGGACGUGAGAUAAACCGUUGAAAGUGUUUAGGCUUUACGUACCCUGACAGUAAUUGAAGAACAAGAACACCUAACCGCUUGAUUUAUUCCACGUUUAAGAUGUGGGAUAAAUUGCUUAAAGUGUUUAGGUUUUGCGUAGACGUAUACUAUUCCGCAUGGUGUUCUCCAAGAGUUUCAAGAAGGACACAAACAUCAUCUUUGAAGAUAUCGAGGAUAUUGAAAGUGAUGGCACCACCUCUCAUCUAAGCUCGCUCAUCUCUAACAACUUCUCGCUCAUCCUUGAUUUAACUAAUAACUUUGAGAUCAUGGGUUCAAACCUCACAGACAUAUGUAAGGUGCGUGAGUUAUUUAAUAAAAGUUUUUUUUUUUUAAAGAGCUCGCUCAUCAUGAUUUCACCUCUGUGAGCUUCGAGAAAUUUUUAAAUGCUACGGGAGGACCAUGUGGCAGUCUAACGUGGUCCUACGAUCCAAUCAAAUUUAGACAUGUGGAUUUUUUACAACUAAAAUAUAAACAAAUAUUUUCUAUUUUUUGUGAAAUGACAUUCAUGGGUAUUUAGCAAGUUCAAAUUAGGGUCUAGGGUAUAGGGUUUAAAGUUUAGGGUUAGAGUUUAGGGUAUAGGGUUUAGGGUUUAGGGUUUAGGGUUUGGGGUUUAGGGUUUAGGGCUUAGGGUUUAGUAUUAAAAAAACAACAAAAAAUCUAAAAUGGUCUUUGACAAAAUAGCUGAAAUAAUUUUUCGUAAAGAAAAUCUACAUGUCUAAAUUUGAUUGGAAAGAAGGCCCACGUCAGACUGCCACGUGGUCCUCCCGUAGCACUGAAAAAUUUCUCAUGAGCUUCAUUGACGUUUCUUCAACGUGGUGGUUGAUUCAAUUAUUUAAUUUACCAUAAUUAAAUUAAUAAUUAAAUUCAGUUUAUCUCUUUAAACUUUAAGUCGAAAAUUAGUUUGAUCCCUGAUUUUUUUUUUUUAUUUCACGUCAGUCUAUAUACUUUCACAAUUACAUCACUGUAGUCUAAAAUUUGAAUUUGGCGCUGAACAUGACUCUGUUGAUGUAGACCCGACAACAUGGCCCCAUUUUUAAGAUAUUAAAUUUUAAUUUGAACAUAAUGUCCAAACUACCCUUAUCUUCUUUUUUAGGAGAACAAAAAAUUAAUGUUGGGUGGGCUGGGUUUGAAGCCUAGACCUUAUCUUUUUUUUUUUUAAUCACGUCUGACUCUGCUGAUGUAGACCCGACAGCAUGGCCUCACUUUUAAGAUAUUAAAUUUUAAUUUGAACAUAAUGUCCAAACUACCCUUAUCUUCUUUUUUUAGGAGAACAAAAAAUUAAUGUUGGGUGGGCAGAGUUCGAAGCCUAGAGCUUGCUGUCAAAUACUAUGCUCCAAACCACUGGAGUAACUAUUGCUCAUAUACCUUUUAGUACAUCUAUAUUUAUUAGUACGAAAAAAUGAAAGGAAAAUAAUAAAUAAUAAAACUAUUUGUGAUUGUGUUCCUACCAUUCACGCCCAGACCUUUACUCCAUGCCUUCACUGAAGGUCAUAAUCCCAGAAUUUUUUUUUCUUUCAGUUUGUUUAUCCUCCUCUUCUUUUUCUUCUUUUUCCUUCAAAUCAAACUAUCAAAGAAAUCACGCUGCAAAUUCCGACCGGGAGGAUGAAGGGUGAGACGGCUUCUUCGUCGUCGGGGAAGCUAAGGAGCUUAAGGAUUGUUUCUGACGAUUCUUGAGCUUGGCAGAAGAGGGGUUUGAUAGGAAAUUCGGCAUCGAUGCGAUGGCGGAACUUCUCUGCUUUUGAGGAGCUUUGUGGCUGGAUUGGUGGGGUGGGGGGGGGGGGGGGGGGGGGAUUUGGGGGUUUGGGGUUUUCAAUGAAUUGGCUUGGUGGUCGACGGCGAUUCGGAGGUUGAAAUUGAUGGGGUGGCAUCCUCGAGGCUGCGUUCGAGGCCGGGAUCAGAGGGGUGAGGCGGAGGGACUAGGUCGUGGUCGCCUAAAGUUUAUUUUAUUUUAUUUUUUUUCCCUAGUCUCUUUAUUUCAAAAUGUCUGUUUUGUCCUUCUUAUGGGUCAUCCUGUCUGGUCCACAUCAGCAGAUGAUGUCAUGUUCGGAGUCAAAUUCAAAAUUUUAGACCACAUUGAUAUAAUUGUGAAAGUACAAGAACUGACGUGAUAAAAAAAAAUCAAGACCAAACUGAUUUUCGAACAAAAAAUUUGAGGGAGUAAACUGAAUUUAAUCCUUAAAUCAAUCAGUCUUAAUUAAUCGAUUUAAUUAUGACCGAUAAAGUAUUUCACUAAUUUGAUUAAAUUCCGACUUCAUUUUUAAUAAUCGAUUUGAUUUGAUUGAUGUCUGAUUAUCGAUUAAUGUUUAAUAUUUGAUUUUAAUUAGGAUUGAUGAUUUUGUUGUCGACCGACCAUUCACACGCCGCCACGUGACAUUUUCGAAGACUUUUCAACUUUACUGACUCACGAGCCACGUAUGCAAUUUGUCAGACCCCUGAGUUGUAUGAAUAAUUUCCGAAGACUUUUCGAUAAUCGAUUUGAUUUGAUUGAUAUCUGAUUAUUGAUUGACAUUUAAUAUUUGAUUUUAGUCGGGAUUGAUGAUUUUAUUGUCGACCGACCAUUCACACGCCGUCACGUGUCAUUUCCGAAAACUUUUCAACUUUGCUGACUCACGAGCCACAUAUGCAAUUUUUCGGGCCCCUGGGUUGUAUGAAUAAUUUAAUUGCUUCAGUUCUAUAUAUACCGCGUCCCACAUGUUUCAUCAAGUGUCAGAUAAUACAGAACCUACUUCGCCAAAAUGAAGAAAAUUGAGGUCAGUAUAAAUUCCAAACACACCAUCAAACCAUCAUCUUCCUCUACACCACUACAGCCUUACAAGCUUACCCUCCUGGACCAGCUCACUCCUCCAACGUAUGUCCCUAUGGUAUUCUUCUACCCCAUUACUGACCAUGUCUUCAAUCUUCCUCAAACCCUAGCAGACUUAAGACAAGCCCUUUCCGAGACUCUCACUUUGUACUAUCCACUCUCUGGAAGGGUCAAAAACAACCUAUACAUCGAUGAUUUUGAAGAGGGUAUCCCAUACCUUGAGGCUCGAGUGAAUUGUGACAUGACUGAUUUUCUAAGGCUUCGGAAAAUCGAGUGCCUAAAUGAGUUUGUUCCAAUAAAAACAUUUAGUAUGGAAGCAAUAUCUGAUGAGCGUUACCCCUUGCUUGGAGUUCAAGUCAACAUUUUGGACUCUGGAAUAGCAAUCGGUGUCUUCAUCUCUCACAAGCUCAUCGAUGGAAGAACGGCAUACUGUUUUCUCAAGUCCUGGGGUGCUGUUUUUCGAGGGUGUCGUGAAGAUGUCAUACAUCCUAGUCUCUCUGAAGCAGCAUUGCUUUUCCCACCGAGAGAUGACUUGCCUGAAAAGUAUGCCGGUCAGAUGGAAGGGUUAUGGUUUGCCGGAAAGAAUGUUGCUACAAGGAGAUUUGUAUUUGGUGCGAAAGUCAUAUCUUCAAUUCAAGAUGAAGCGAAGAGCGAGUCCGUGCCCAAGCCAUCACGAGUUCAGGCCGUCACUGGUUUUCUCUGGAAACAUCUAAUCGCUGCUUCUCGGGCACUAACAUCAGGUAAAAUCAGUUUAUCAACAAGCCAAAUAAUAAAGCCUAAUGUAUUUGGGGUACUUAUUUAUAUAUUUUUAUUACGUAUAUCUAGUGUACUGUGUACAUAGCUCAAAGAAUGAGAAAAUAUAUGAACUUGCAGGUACUACUUCAACAAAACUUUCUAUAGCAGCCCAGGCAGUGAACAUAAGAUCACGGAUGAACAUGGAGACGGUGUUGGAUAAUGCCACUGGAAACUUGAUGUGGUGGGCACCGGCCAUACUACAGCCAAGUCAUACAACACCAGAGAUUAGUGAUCUUAAGCUGUGUGACUUGGUUAACUUGCUCAAUGGAUCUGUCAAACAAUGUAACGGUGAUUACUUUGAGACUUUCAAGGGUAAAGAGGGAUAUGGAAGAAUGUGUGAGUAUCUAGAUUUUCAGAGGACUAUGAGUUCUAUGGAACCAGCACCAGAGAUUUAUUUAUUCUCGAGCUGGACUAAUUUUUUCAAUGCACUUGAUUUUGGAUGGGGGAGGACAUCAUGGAUUGGAGUUACGGGAAAAAUUGAAUCUGCAUUUUGCAAUUCCACAAUGUUGGUUCCAACACAAUGCGAUAAUGGAAUUGAAGCAUGGGUGAAUCUAGAAGAAGAGAAAAUGGCUAUGCUAGAACAAGAUCCCCAGUUUCUAGCGGUAGCAUCUCCAAACCCCCCAAUUUCAAGGUGUUGAUUAAAAAAGAUUAUGUGGCUCGUGCAAUGUUUCGAUUUUGUAGUGAAUAAGGUUUAAAUUAGUUCACCAGCCAAUCAAUAAGAUGCAAGUAUGAUAGACUCUGUCUACGUAUGUUAUCCGAAUGUGUUUUCGAUAUGCUUGUAACCAAUAUAGCUCUUGUUUGUAAUAAUGCUCUGUUAAGCUUCUAUCUAUAAAGUUAUUUCUCUUGAUUAAAGAAAAAACUAUACAAGUUUUGUUAAGCUUUAUUCUAUUUUUAAGAUAGGAUGUAUGUAGUACCUAUAAAGAUGGUUCACCUAUUAUUAUUUUCAAAUACAUGAUUAUCCGGUACAAUUACGUAGAAUAUUUCUAUAGCUAAAAAAAUGUAAUUUUGAUCCGUGACAACAUGAUUAAAAAAUUACAUAUUCUGAUACAUUUGUUCUCUAACGACAAGCAUGGCCAUAAUGCCUCACCUGAUCAUCUAUGUGAUGGGGUAGUGUCCUUUCUUUUUAAGAGAAGGUAGGCACCUAAUGUGAAGGCCUCUACGAGAGACUAAUAUUGUCUGAUCUUCUUUUGUUCAUCAAAUUAAAGAAACGAAAAUGGCCACAAUGCCUCACUAUUGAUAGAAGAUAGAACCAUACAAUAAUUUGGAACAUAUGCAUGGAGACAAGGAAAUAUAACACAAUAAAACCAUUAUAAUUUCACUUUAUGUGGGAAACUUGGCCAAAACCGAAUCACAUCCACGUUGGCAACAAAAAGUGACUGGAAAAAAAGAGCCCCCAAAAAGCUAAAACACUAUAAAAACCAGAAAACUUGAAUAAGCGAAAAACCAAAAGUAUGACAUUUACACACACACUCUAUCUCUCUCUCAAAGUCUGAAAACUUGCGCAAUAAGGUACCUAGCUCUCUGGUCUUUUCUUUCUAAUGCAUAUAAGUCCCUGUAAAUUUUAUGGCUUUUGGAAUGAUGAUUUUAUGCUUGUGGAUCUCAGAUGGGUUUGUUUUGUUUUGGGAUUUUUAUAAAUGAAUCCAUUGAAAAUGUUGAAAGCUUAUGCCUUUGUUCCUUGGUUCACUGUUCUGGUUUUGUAAAUUGUGUGUACGAGAGUUGAAAUGUUGGUUUUGGUAAAGAGAAAUGUUCUAUAACCAUGUAAGUUAUCUUCUAAAGUUGUUCGAGUACUGCAUAGGAAAUAACGACCUAAACUGCUAGAUGCUCUGAGAAACUUAAUUAUCCGAUUCGUUGUGAUAAAUUAAUAGAACCAUCAAUAGCCGUGAUAGUCCCUUAAUAUUUGGUGGCUAAUUAGCAAUGCAUUCAUGGUAGUUGCAUGUGCUUAUUUUGUGCAGUAUUCUAAUUCUAUCACUUGCAAAAUCGUUGUGGAAGGUCAAGAGGAGAAAACUGAAAAUGGGGCAGCAUGCAUCUCAUUUUAUUUUUUUAUGCAAUAGAGCCCUAUAUAUAAAAUAAAUAAUGUAUCUAUAACCUUCUCUAAUUAAUUUACUUAGUAAUUGACGCAAUUUGGCCGAACUGUUUCUAAACACACUAAGCUUCAGUUCUAUAUAUACCACGUACCACAUGUAUGAAUUCAUCAAGUGUCUGAUAAUACUAAACCUACUUCGACAAAAUGGAGAAAAUUGAGGUCAGUAUAAUUUCCAAACACACCAUCAAACCAUCAGCUUCCACUCCACGACUUCAGCCUUACAAGCUUACCCUCCUGGACCAGCUCACUCCUGCAAUGUAUGUCCCCAUGGUAUUCUUCUACCCCAUUACUGAUCCUGUCUUCAAUCUUCCUCAAACCCUAGCUGACUUAAGACAAGCCCUUUCCGAGACUCUCACUUUGUACUAUCCACUCUCUGGAAGGGUAAAAAACAACCUAUACAUCGAUGAUUUUGAAGAGGGUGUCCCAUACCUUGAGGCUCGAGUGAAUUGUGACAUAACUGAUUUCCUAAUGCUUCGGAAAAUCGAGUGCCUAAAUGAGUUUGUUCCAAUAAAAACAUUUAGUAUGGAAGCAAUAUCUGAUGAGCGUUACCCUUUGCUUGGAGUUCAAGUCAACAUUUUCGACUCUGGAAUAGCAAUCGGUGUCUCCGGCUCUCACAAGCUCAUUGAUGGAAGAACGGCAGACUGUUUUCUCAAGUCCUGGGGUGCUGUUUUUCGAGGGUGUCGUGAAGAUAUCAUACAUCCUUGUCUCUCUGAAGCAGCAUUGCUUUUCCCACCGAGAGAUGACCUGCCUGAAAAGUAUAUAGCUUUGAUGGAAGGGUUACGGUUUGCCGGAAAAAAAGUUUCUACGAGGAGAUUCGUAUUUGAUGCGAAAACCAUAUCUGCAAUUCAAGAUGAAGCGAAGAGCGAGUCCGUGCCCAAGCCAUCACGAGUUCAGGCCGUCACUGGUUUUCUCUGGAAACAUCUAAUCGUUGCUUCUCGGGCACUAACAUCAGGUAAAAUUAGUUUAUCAACAAGCCAAAUAAUAAAGCCUAAUGUAUUUGGGGUACUUAUUUAUAUAUUUUUAUUA
rnacentral:lncRNA from 1 species